GGAUGGAAGGAUGCUUAGAGAAACAUGUGGGGAAGUUGGCAAUGAUAAAAGAAUUAAAGCUGCACCGGCACUAUCAUCUGAUGCAGCUGUGCAAACAAGACUCCAAACUUGGCCCCAUUUUUCAGUAUCUUGAAAUUCUAAAAGUAUAUAAUUGUCAAAGUCUGUUAAUUCUAUUGCCAUCAUCAUCGGUAUCUUUUGGGAACCUAACAAAACUUGUAGCUUUCGAUUGCAAGAAAUUGAUACACUUAGUAACAUCCUCCACAGCAAAAACUCUGGUGCGACUCGUAACAGUUCAAGUAUAUGGAUGCAGAGCAAUGACAGAGGUGGUAAUAAAUGACAAAGACGGGGUUGAAAAAGAAGAGAUUGUUUUCCGCAAAUUGAAGACGUUGGAUCUGCGUGAUUUAGAUAGCCUCACAAGUUUCUGCUCUGCCAAUUACACCUUCAAAUUCCCAUCUUUGCAAGAUUUGUGGGUGAUUGGUUGUCCCAAGAUGAAGAUUUUCACUACAGGAGAAUCAAUCACGCCUCCAAGAGUAAAUGUCCGGUAUGGAGAGACAGCGGAUCAACGGCGCUGGGCUAAUAAUGAUCUAAACUCAACCAUACAACAAUUACAUGCUGAGAAGGUACGUAUAUACAUGUAUAUACAUCUUUACAAAAUUUGCUUUCUUAAAUACAAUAUAGAUAAGAUAUUUGAUGAAUAAGAAUUUUACUUUCAGCUGUUGGCGGUGCAGUCGGCGAUCUCUACCCAGUACUAAUUUCAUAGGCUUCUUAUGACUUGGGAGUUGUGAAUUUUUAGAAGAAAGCCUCAGCUGGUAAUUAAUUUUUAUUUCAUUUAUUUGAUCUCAUGGCUUGUUUCGCAAUUUCAUCUGAAUUAUUUAGAAUGGGUCAAUCGGCUUACUGUUAAAUUUGGAAUGCAAUUUUAAUGAUUCGUUCAGACUUUUGUGGACAGAUUUUGCAUCAUUGAAUGUCUUCUAGUCUAGUUUAAUUUGAGUAUUUUUUUUCUUUUUUUCUUUUUUUGAGAGUUCCCCUUGUUUUCUAAAAUUUUAUAAUUCCUUGCAUACUUUGUAUGAUAAAAUUUCAUUAAAAGCCUUCAUAUUUUAUAAUUCCUUGAAAACAUCAUUGCUGUUCUGUUAUUUUAGUUUGUUCAUUUAGUUUGGUUUGCUUCACACCUAUCUUUGUUUGGAAACUUUUUUUUAUUUUUUUGAUGAUCUUUCCAAAUGCUCUCCCCUAUGAACACAUAAUUAAGACCAGCUGAAAAUCAUUCAUCGGAUAAAAAAUAAAAAAUAAACAAAAUCUAAUCAGAGCAUUAUGCCUAGAACAAAUCCUUAGACCAUCAAAGCAAAACUCUUCGCUAUGAAAAACUAUAUUGUGGAAAUAUUGUUUGAAAACGUUGGAUACCAAGAAAGGGACUAAUCUGGUCUAGUUUUAUGAGAAGUGCAGAAGAACAGUAUUUUCUCUGUUGUUCCUAUUAAAAUUCUUUACUAUGUGAUUGUAGAAUGUCUGGAUACUGAUGAAGAUUCAGGUAACUCUUCUCCUGUGCAUCAUUUGAAAUAAGUUUUUUUUUUUUUUUUGGUAAUAUCUCCUACUGGGUUAUAGUUCAUACAAAGAGAAAUUCUUAAAUCAAGCCGGAUACUGGUAGAAACAAGUGGGGAAGUAGGCACUGAUAAAAUGGUUAAUCCUGUCCAGACUUAAUCAUUGAAGCAACUCCAAACUGGACUCCAUUUUAAAUAUCUUGACAUUCUAAGACUAUUUUACAAGCAUUUAAGUCUAUUCACAUGAUCAUCUAUAUCUUUUGGGAAUCUAAAAGAACUGUUGGUUUUCCAUUGCAAGGAAUUGUAACAUCCGUCCACUACAGCAGAAAGUCUAGUGCGACUCGUAUCAAUGAAGGUAGCUGGAUGCAGGGCAAUGACAGAGGUGGUAAUAGGUGACGGAGAAGAAGACGGAGCACCAAAUUUAAAUUCAAAACAAGAGAUUGUUUUCAGCAAAUUGAAGACAUCGAGUCUGUGUGAUUUAGAUAGUCUCACAAGUUUCUGCUCUGCCAAUUACGCUUUCAGAUAAAGAUUCUUGAAAUUGUCCUAUUUACAGCUGACAUUUCCACAAGAGUUAGAGAAAUAUAAAAAAUUCAUUAAUCGUUAGUUUUUAAUUUCAUUAUUCAAUGAAAAGUCCUGUCAAAUUAAAUUGCAAAUCUCAAUGUGCAAGUACCUAAAUUUACAAAAUUUACUUUAAAUUAAUGAAUGAAAGAAUUUAUUUUCUGCUGUUGGAGGAGUCGUCAUCUCUCUCGACAUAGUAUACGAUAUGUUUUGAUCCCAUAGGCUUUUUAAUAUAUUACCUUGUGUUGUUUGAUCUCUAGGUUUAUUUGCAAUGCGUCAGUUGGUUUAUUUGUUAAUUUUGGAAUGAAGUUGAUGCAGCUGAUGGUUGCAUAGGAUGAGUAGGAUAUCACUCCUAGAUCAUAACUUGAUCUAACAAUAUUGUGUAGGUCUUUUGUGACUCCAACAAUAAAAAAACUCAAUAUUUUUUUUAUAGAGCAAUAUUUGUUAAAGCAUGAAGAAAGGCAGAAAUAUUGUAAAUCCAUCUCAACUUUUCUGUUUAUUGUGGUCGCUGCUAGCGCUGGCUGUUUUCUUAUUUAACUUUGUUCCCUUUUGCCAUCAGCUCUUUGCAUUUUCAUUGGAUCAAGCGACCCUUUUCUUGCUUCAAUUUCUGAUCUCAAAAGCACUUUGAUUCUCUUCUAUAAUUCUGUUACACUGAUUUUCUCCUUAUUUUGUACAAAUAUCAUUUCUCUUUCCCAUUUAGCCUUGAUUUGCUUCAACUUGACUAUCAAUUGCCAAGUUGACCCUGUUGUAUUUUUAUUUUGUUCACUUCAAAUAGACCCAAAAAAAAAAAGAGAUGUUGAAUAAAGCCUAAAAUCUAAUUUGAUUUUUAAUCUGAUUUAGCUAAGAUGUCCAAUUUAAUAUUAAUAGCAAUGUUAAGGAUUCUAAUAAUUGGGUCCCAACUGAUAUGAUAGUCAUUUAUUAGAUGAUCGAAAUAUUAAUUUUACUAAUUAUGAAAUUCAUUAUCUAAUAAAAAAUGACACAUAACAAUUGGGUCUCAAGUUAGAAUUCAAAUAUUGGAAUUCUUAACAUUAUUUUAAUAUUAAAAAAUUCAUCAAAAUAAUAUAUAUUAUCUAAAAAAAAUAAAAAAUCUAAAACCAUAGAUUUACCCUUCAAUCUUCGUGAUUUGGCUGAUUUCUUUUAAAGCUUUGGUUUCUUUGGAAGUGCAACGAGAAAUAGUAAUAAGAUUAAAAAAGCAAUGAAGUAAAACUUUAAAAUUUUUAUUUUUUUAUAUUUUUAUGGGUCAUUUUACCGGCACUGGCGUUUGAUUUUCUGACUAAGCUACUGUUUAGUUCUAAGUUUUCAAUUACCCGGACUGCUCUGUUUUGUGUAUCAUCGACACAAUAAGGCUUAGCAUUUAAAAGUCGGCAGCCACGCAACUUCUUGGAAUCUUUGUGCAAGUGUUGGAUAUCGACUGUUCGAUAAUGAUGGCAGCAUUUGACUGGAGUGUAAUUGACGCAGUGGAAUAAGGAUCACAUGUCUCAAACUUUUGGUGAAGAUAUUGUCAGAUAUUUUAUUGAUUAAAGGAUCACAAAUAAUGGAUAUUGGAUGAGAAUCACAUGUUUUAUGGGAUUUACUAUGUUGCAACAGUGAUACCAUACCACUGUUUUUGUCAUUAUUCAUUGCGGCCGUUGGAUGGUAACUUAUUUAAUCUAAUGGUUUAAAUUAGUUAAUGGAGAAAUGACGCGGCAACUUACAACCCUUGCAGCCGGUUCUGUAUUGAUCUAAUAGCAUGGAGUAGUAAGCGUGCGUUUCAAAGAUGCUAAGAUACACUAAAUCCCACUAUUUCCAUACUCAUAAUCACAAGCUUACCUCAAAAAAUGAAGGGAGAAUACGAUGAAGAAGAAGAUGGCCAGUGUUUUACGCCGUUCGCCGGCAACCAGUUAGGUUUACGAUGGUGGCUAGUAACACGGAGUCCAGCGAAUAGUAGCAUACCGAACGGCUCUUUACCGUCACGUGGUUAGUAACAUAUGUGACCGCAGUGUGGCCGUCACAUAAAAGGUAUUGGGGUUACAAAGUUAGUGAUAUACGUAAUGGCUGCUUUUGCAUUCACAUUAGGGGUCACAUAUACCCUAUUUUUCUUGUAGUACAUGGUAAAUUCUAUUUGAAAAUUGCUAAGUAUUUUAGAUUUGUACAAAUUCAUUUUUGUGUGCUGGUGCCUGGUUGGAUAAUAAUAUAUAAUAAAUUAAAUUUUUGGUGUAAUUUUCACAAUAUUGUAUUAUAAAUAUGUAUCGUUGAGAGGUUUUGAAAUCGUUUUGAUUGAUCAUAAUUGAUAUUUCCACAGUUGUAAAAGAUGCCAGAGAAAAUUUGAUUAUCUUAAGAAAUGAGUGCAUGAGAUAUGAAAUCAACCAUACCGUAAAAUCAAAUUUUAUCGUGUCAUCCUUCUUGGUUCAAAUUUAUGGAAACAAUAAUCAAAUGCAUCCAUGAACUAGUAUAUUCCAACAUAUGUACCAUCAAAUUUUUGCUAUGUCAUACUUAUGUAUGUGUGUGUGUGUGUGUGUUUGUGUAUAUUGAAAUUUUAAUAACAACAAUUGGGGCAAGCAUAUGUUGGUACUUGAAGAUUUAUAAGCUCCAUUCUUGAAAAAAUAAGGCUUGACUGUUCUCGAUCUAAUUCUUUUUGUUUUAAGUUCUUAAUUAAGCUUUCUUGCUUGUUUUCAAGAGCCAGUUUUGUAAUGAUCGACAAACAUGAUUUGCAUAUAUUGCACUUGGCAUUUAUGUGUCACUUAUUAACUAGAUUUAAAUUUUAUAAAUUAAUUAAGCUGAUUAAUACUUUAUAUGUGCACUAAAUGAUAAAUACUACAUAAAUUGGGACACUAGUAACUACGUAUCCCAACUAUGUAAUAUUUGUUUGUCACAAAACCAAUCAUGGCCUGAUAUUCUAAAUAUUAUUUAGGAUACCAUUUCAAGUCCCAUGAGGGCUCUUUCCGUUAAAAAAAAAAAGUAUGAAAUAGAUGUAGAUUUUUCUUUAGAUAUUAUUACCUUUGGUGGCAAUGGUACGGGAUGAUUUGGGAUUUGACAAUUCCACUCUCAUCUUAAUUAUCAAAUGGAAUGUAAGUAUGGAUAAACUCGUCCUGUUUAUAUACUUGUGAUUAAAAUUAGGACCAAUCUCAAACCGCUCACAAUCAUGUCCCAUCCUAACUAUCCUGAAUGUCUCGAAUGCCUCCCUUUAUUAUCAUUUUAAUUCUCAUUAACAUAUUAGCAAAAUUUCCAUAUAUUAAAAAUAUUAGGGUCUGACUAUCUAUACUUUAAAAAUUACUAUGAACACUCAAUUAUUUUAUACACUCAUCUAAUAAAUUUAAAAAAUUAAGUUUCAUUUUGUACAUUUUUAAAAGUAACAAAAACAUUUUUACAUGAACCUAAUAAGUUUCUUUAAAAAAAAUUAAAUCAAUUAUUUUUAUUUAUUCAAAAUACUAAUAAAACUAUUCAGCAGACCGUGAAAGAAAAUUUUUAAGAAAUUUAGCACAUAAAACGUUGAAAGUUUCAACUAAAUUCUUUAACACAAUUUUAGAAAUUACUUAUUGUUUAUUAAAGAAUGUGUUCACUAAUGUUUUUAAUUUUGUGCAAUCAAAAAAGAAGAAGAAGAAGUUUGGGGUUAAAGAUACAUUUAAUUUUUAGUGUAAAAGUUGUAUCAAUCCUAUAAAAACUAAAAGAUCCAAAAGUUACAAGUUCCAACAUCACCCAAAUAUUACGAUUGUUUUUGGGAAGGUUAAAAGUGAUUUUAAAAAUUAAAAGCUUAUUUUAGUGUUUUAUAAAUUUUUUUUUAGUAAUUACUUUUGGCAAAAUCAUCUCAUCAUACAGUAGAUUUUGAAAAUUAAGAAAGGGAAUAGUUUUUCAAAAUCUAAUUUUGAGAAUCACUUUUAUACUUAAUCCAAUUCUCUCUCUCUCUCUCUCUCUCUCUCUAUAUAUAUAUAUAUAUAUAUAUAUAUAUAUCCUCAUUAUAUAAUAAAAAUCCAAAAUUACCUUUAUUAAUUAAGAAAUAAAAUCAUUAACUUUAAAGAAAUUAUUAUUACCACCAAUUAUAUUGAGAUAACAAAAUAAAUAAUACAAUUUAAUAAUAUACAAUAUUUAUUUUAGUUAUCAAUAAUUAUAUCUACAUAACAAAAAUAUUUUAUAUACAUGUUUGUAAAUGUGUAAAUAAAUUUUAUUUAGCUUUAUAUCCAAUUUAAUCAUUUACAUUCUUGCACCAGUUUAAUAAUAAGAUUUAUGAAACACAUAUGACUGCUUUUUAAACUAAAAGUACUUUUAAAAAUAAAUUUUACUAAAGGUUCACCUAAUUCUCUUCACGAUUGAUCAAUUUCUACAGCAUAGAUAACUGUAAUUAUUUUAAAAGCCAUAGAUUACCAAUAAAAAUGUCUAAAAGUAACAAUAAUAAACCAAAGUAAACGUACAAAAAUUCAUGCAUAAAUUGAUAAUCAACAAAAACAUCCAAAAGUUUUACUCUAAGUUUUCUAUUCAAUUGACAUAACCCUUAAAUUUCAAAAGGCAUAAUCAAUUUUGUGACUAAUCCUAUAAAAUUAGAAAAUUAAAGAAUAUUAUAUACUGAUAAUUAAAUAAUAUACAAUUAAUAAUGUAAAAAAAAAAUCAUGUUAAACAUAUUGUGAACUAAAAUAAUUGGGAGAAUUGGAGUUCCAAGAUAAAUUCCAAUCUAGUCCCAAAUCAACAAUUGGGAUUAAUUUCAAUCUUAAACUCCGAUUACUUUUAAAAUUGGUCCUAAUAAUAUGGACAAAUCCCAUUCUGAUCAGUAUGGAAUCUCAAUCCCAUAACUUUGGGUUUCGAUGGUGUUUAGUUGGAGGGAGGAGAGAGGAAGGAAAUGAAUUCAAAUUCCUUUCACUUUUCUGUUGUUUGGUUUUCACAAAUAUAUGGGAAUUCAAUUUCUAUUGAAAUUUAGUUUUCAUCAAAUUGUGCAUUUUGGAUUCCUCACCGAAGGCUGUAAAAUUCAAAUUCUCCUCCUAUUAGAAAUCAAAUCUUCCAAAAUUGUUCCUCUCAAAUAUUUAUCAAUUAUUUUUAUUCUUAUCAAACAAUUCUUAUUUAUGAUUUUAUUUUUUCAAUUUAAAUCGUCACUAAGGCGUCUAACUAAGGGCCAGUUUGGGAAUACUAUAACUUUUAAAAUAAUUAUUGUUAGUUGUGCUUUAGAAAUAAUCAGCUGUGAAGAAAAUUAAUUAAGUGUUUGGUAAAUUUUGUUUUAAAAAUACUGUGAGUUUUAAAAGCAGUUAUGGACAUUUAGUAAAUUUUACUAUUAAAUUGCUGAGAGAAAACAUAUGACUAAAAUGUAUAUAAUGUAGAUAAGAUUUACUUAUACAUAUAAAAACAUGUACAUAUAAUAUUUUUAAUUGUGUAUUAUAAUAAUUUUUAUUACAAAUAAAAUUUAUAAUAUAUUGAUUUUUUUAUUUUUUUAUCUUGAAACAAUUGAUAAUUAAAUUUGUAAUAUAGUGAAACAAAUUUAAUAAUAAUUCGACCAAUAAACUGAUAUUAAUAUAUUUAUAUAACCAAAUUAACGGGUGAAUUCUAUAAUCGAUUUCUUUUAUUAACAUCUCAUAACUAUGAGAAGUUUUAUAUUUUGAUAAAUGAUCAUACUCAAUUAUGUGCCUUAUUGGAUGAAAGACGGAGAAGGAAUGCCUUACCGGAUUCAAUUCAAUAUACACUUUUUGUUCCCAGGUCUAGCCUUUCGCGGGUACCUCAACAAAAAACUGAAGAGUAAUGGCAACAAGUGAUUGAGUUAAGUAGUUCCUCAUGUAAAAUUAUUGACUCUAGAGAUAUAGUAAUAUGGAGAAGACUAAACUAUUUCGUAUUGAUGAAUUAUAGUAACAAUUUAUUAAAAUAUUGAUUUUGAUUCUAAUUUUAAUAAGGAAGAACACCAAGAACGUUAUCCCUCUAAAUAUGUACUAUAUACAAAAAAUAAUUGUAAAAAAAGGGUAGAAAAAUAAAAGACAACUCAGAAAAUACUAUUUUUUUUAAUUAUAGAAUAUGACAUUGCAACCUAUAAUUACAUGUAAUUAUAUAAAGAUUAAAAAAUCAAUUAAGAAUUUCAAAUUAAAAUAGAUCAAUACAUGUAAUUACAAUCAAUUAAAAAUUGCAAGUAAAACUUUUGAAGUGGAAUACUAAAUUACCCGACUUAAUAAAUUAAACAAUUAAAAUUUAUUCAUCCUUUCAAAUUGUAAAAGUAUUAUUAGUCAAAAGUUUCAAUAAUAAACUAAACUCAAUUCAGCAAAAAGGUAUUUGAGUGCAAUUGUUUCUUUGUUAGGCGCUUUGCCUCUCUUUAAAGAACUAGAUGUUAAUUAUUCUUCUAUCAAAAAAUCCUUAAAAUAAUUAAAUUUUAUUUUCUAACUUGUUCUCUUAGUUUUUUUGAAACUAACAAAUAAAAUCUGAAAAUUCACAUAAAAAUUUUAUGAAAAUAUUGAUAAUUAUUACUAUAUGUUGUUCUGUAAGUACUUUUAAUACUAACAACGAUGUUAUAUUAUAUUGAUAGAUUUUUUUUUCAAUUAGAAGUUUUUAAAAUAAAUUAAAGCAAUAAUAAAAUUUUAGCUCCCUAAUUUUUCAAUCUAUUCAAUAAAUACGUAAUUUAAUCAUUUUAUAAAAUAAGUCACUAAUUGCAAUUGAAAAUAAUAUAAUUGAAUUAGGGACAUAUUUGUAAAUAAAAAAAACUAUUGUUAUAUAAAAUUGAUGAAAACAUAAGGAUAAUUGAGUUAAGGACAUAUUUGAAUAUAAAAUAUUGUUGUACUAAAUCGAUGAAAAUGUAAGGGUAAUUGAGUUAGGGACACAUUUAAAUAUAAAAUAAAAAAUCUAUUGUUAUACCAAAUUGAUAAAAACAUAAAAGUUAUUGAGUUAGGGACGUAUGUGAAAAUAAAAUAUAAACUCUAUUCUUUUACUAAAUUAAUGAAAAUGAAAAAAAGAGGUAUAAACGAUUUUUUCCCACAUGUAGGUCCGCCACUCGUGUUGUAUGAGAAUUGUAAUCCAAAAAUUUUCCCUACAAAACGAUUUUUAAUCGACAGCAAAUUUUCACUACAAAACGAUUUUAAACGAUUUUUGUUUUUUUUCGAUUAAUUUUGAAAUGUUGCAUACAUAACGAGCUGCCAUUGAAAUUAAUGUUAACAACCAAAGUAGAUGCAAAAGGAGAAACAAGCAUCAUGUGCAGUACCCACUGUGAACUACUCACAUUGGAAUAAGUUGUCGGCAGCUGGUCUGUUUGGCCAUUGAUAUUUUGACUAUUCAAUGUUGAUUUUGACCCCACUAAAUUAAGCCAUCAAAAAUUGCUGGGAAGGGAGUAAUAUCUAUUCAUAACUGGAAAUUACUCGCCGUACAAUGAUGAUUGGAGCUGCAUGUAUCAUUUAUUAUUAACAACUAACUUAUGAAAUGCUUUGAAUGUACCUCCUAGGUCGUAUUUACUAUACUGGUUAGGAGAAACUACAAUAUUAAAUUAUUUGAUAAAUACUUAUUAUAAUUUAAAAAAUAUAUUAAUUUUGUCCUCCACUUUAUGAUAAAAAAAUUAUAAUAUAUAUAAAUCAUUCAUUCUAUAAUCUUGAACUUUAUUAAAGUUCCAAAAACUAUUACUCUAUAUGAUAUACUCGGGUGAUGUUAUUACACUAUUAUACAGUACAAAAUAUAUUUGUUUUCUUAAAUUUUAAUAAAGUCUAGGUCUUGGAGAGAAGCGCUUUAUAUAUAUGUAUAUAUAAUGAUUCUCUAGUGACGACAUCCUCAUUUUAACAAAGUGAUGAUAUCACUAACAAACUAAAUAACACACAUUUCAAUACACCAAUUGAUAAAAAAAUCCAGUUUUUAAUGUGUUAAAAUAUAUGUCUUUUGUAUAUUAUUGAUAUUUUCAUUUUAACAAAGUGAAGGUCUCCUCACUAUAGAAGUGCUUUAUAAAUAUUUUCUGUAUUUUUGUAAAAAUUAUUAUUUAAAAGUCAUAUCUUACCAAAGACUAAUAGUUUUUAUUUUAUCACUAUACUGUACUUUUCAAGAUAGAACACCUCAAUACCAUGACCUUAAUUUUGAACUCUCUUGUACAAAGUUGUUGGCGGGUCUAUUUAGUUUAGUCUUUCAACUAUUUGUCGUUUGAACUAAGAUGAUCCGAAUAAAGAUAUAUAUCAAUAAUUUCCUAGUGAAACUUCGGAAAAAUAUAAAAAUCCUCUCAUAUAGUAGCAUUAUUUUAAUUCUCAGCUUGAUUAUGUUUUGAGUUAACUUAUAAAUUAUUUGAAAUAAAAAGAAUAUAAUUUAUUUUUUCCAACGGAAUUUUUUAAAUAAUUUUAUUAGUUUAAUGAGUAAUUAUACACUUACAAAGUUAUGAUAUAAAAUUAUAUCCCUAAAUCCCAAUAAUAUGACACCAAUGAACUACUGCUAUGUGUUUCUUAGUAAUUAACUUUUUAUACUAUUAUUAAUGAGAUAAUUAACUUCAACACCAAUAUAAAAAUUUUAUAUUAAUACAUCCUCUAGCUUUAGACGUUACAGACUCUGUAUGUAACGCAGCAAAUGAGGAGCAUCCACGCGUUGCAGGAGAGAGGAAAAGUUGUUGGAAUUUAGCUGAUACAAGACUAAUUUCCAUUGAGCUGUUACAUACAGAGUCUGUAAGGUAGUUUUAUUAUCAAAUAAUCAUAUGUCAUAAUCGAACCAAGCUACCAGAGCCUACCACUAAAAGAGUGAUUGAAGGGUUUUCCAAGUUUGAAAAUGUUAGUAGCAUUGGCAAAUGGCAACUUCCAGGAAUCUUCCUGCUACAAUCAAGUUGAAUCAACUAUUCAGUGAAAUACGCAAACGGCACAUAGGACCCCGCCACCCGUAAAGUCACAAUCAUUUGUUUAUUUGUCAAUCAAGUUGAAUCAACUUGAAUAAAGCCUAAAAUCUAAUUUUUUAUUUCGUUCACUUCAAAUAGACCCCCCCCCCCCAAAAAAAGAGAUGUUGAAUAAAGCAUAAAAUCUAAUUUGAUUUUUAAUCUGAUUUAGCUAAGAUGUCGAAUUUAAGACUAAGAGCAAUGUUAAGGAUCCCAAUAAUUGAGUCCCAAGUGAUAUGGUAGUCAUUUAUUCUAUGAUCGAAAUAUUAAUUUUACUAAUUAUGAAAUUUAUUAUCUAAUGAAAAAAUCACACAUAUCAAUUGGGUCUCAAGUUAGAUUUCUACUAUUGAAAUUCCUAACAUUUUUCCAAUAUUUAAAAAUUCAUCAAAAUAAUAUCUAUUAUCUAAAAAAAUAAAAUAAAAAUCUAAAACCAUAUAUUUACUUUUCAAUCUUUGGCUGAUUUUUUUUUAAAGUUUUGGUUUCUUUAGAAGUGCAAAGAGAAAUAGUAAUAAGAUUAAAAAAGCAAUGAAGUAAAACUUUAAAAUUUUUAUUUCUUUAUAUUUUCAUCGGUCAUUUUACCGGUACUGGUUUGAUUUUCUGACUAAGCUACUGUUUAGUUCUAAGUCUUGGCAAUUACCCGGACUGCUCUGUUUUGUGUAUCUUCGACACAAUAAGGCUUAGCAUUUAAAAGUCGGCAGCCACGCAACUUCUUGGAAUCUUCGCGCAAGUGUUGGAUAUCGACUGUUCGAUAAUGAUGGCAGCAUUGGACUGGAGUGUAAUUGACGCAGUGGAAUAAGGAUCACAUGUCUCAAACUUCUGGCGAAGAUACUGUCAGAUAUUUUAUUGAUCAAGUAAGGAUCACAAAUAAUUGACGCAGUGUAAUUUGCUUUUUUUGCUACUGAUGUAAGUCUUGCAAUUAUUUUUAAAUAAUGAUAUUAUAAUUAAAAAUCAAGAAAUAUUUAUAAUACUUAAAGACUGAUUCAGAUUAUUAAUUCUUUUAUAUGACUUAAUUAUUAGCUGACAAAUAAUUAAAAAGUCAUGGAACAAUACUUUUAUUCUAAUAUGACACAACUUGUACUUUCAUUCCUAUGCUAAAAUAUAUCUAACUUAUUAAUAGUCAAGAAAUAUAUCUAUUCAACAUAUAUUUGUUAGAAAGAUUAUCUACUAAUUAAUCAUUCAGACAAGAUUACGAGUCUCAACAUAAAGAGUAAUGAUAUAAUCAUAAAUUUUUGUAUAAAUUUAUUUUGUAUAAAUUAAUAUGUCAUAAUAAGAUUGGUUAAAUUAAAUAUCACUUGACUCAUAUAAUUUAUUUUUAUUAUUUUAUAUUUUCAUUCAACUAAUGAAUUAAUGUCAUGUUAAUUUAUACAAAAAUAUUUAUACAAAAAUUUAUAGUUAAUUUAUACUCCAAAUUAAGAUAAAAAUUAAUACAUUGAAAUUCAGAACCCUUUUUUAUUUUUUUUUUCCUUCUGCAGUUUAAAAAGGAGUCGCCCACGAUUAUUGAAAUAAUUUUAUCAGAUUCGCUUGAAAGUAGUUUUACGAGCAAGCGGUUUUUCCCUCUUGAUCCCCGUAUUCGUCAGCUCCUACUCUUUGCCUUCAAUUCUCAGUCAAGAAAACCUCUCCUGAUUUUCGUCUUUUGAUCUCAUACACACUUUGCUUCUGUUCAUCGUGGUCGCUGCUCGUGCUAGCCGUUUUCUUAUUUAGCUUUGUUCCCUUUUGCCAUCAGCUCUUUGCUUUUUCAUUGGAUCAAGCAACCCUUUUCUUGAUUCAAUUUUCUGAUCUCAAAAACACUUUGAUUCUCUUCUGUUACACUGAUUUCCCCCUUGUUUUGUACAAAUAUAAUUUCUUUUUCCAAUUUUGCCUUGUUUUGCUUCUACUUGAUUAUCAAUUGCGCGGUCGUUGACCCUGUUCUAUUUCUAGUUCGUUCCCUUCCCCCCCCCCCCAACCCAAAAAAAAUGGACAUUUUGAAAAGCAUUGUAAACUGCUUGUCUCCUCACGCACAACGCGAAUUUAGUUAUUGGCAUAACUCCGCUGCCAACUUUGAGAAUCUCAAGGCAGAACUCGAUGGGCUCAAGGAUGAAAGAGAAAGCAUUCAGCGCAGAGUUUCUGAGGCUGAAAGAAAAAGUGAAAAGAUUGAAGAGAAGGUUGAGAAAUGGCUGGUUAAUGCGAACAAGAGCAUUGAGCAGGCAGCCAAAUUCAUUCAAGACGAAGAGAAAGCAAAUGAACGAUGUCUCAUGGGGCUGUUUCCUAAUUGGAUUACUCGCUAUCAGCAUGGAAAGAAAGCAGAAACAGAGAAGGAGGCCCUUUUUAAACUCCGAGAAGAAGCUGGGAGAUUUGAUAGAAUUUCCUACCCUACCAUUCCGGAGGAGAUUUGGCUCAAGUCUCACAAAGGCUACGAGGCCUUCGAAUCAAGACUUCCUACUUUGGAGGAUAUAAAAAACGCAUUAAUCAAUGUUAAUGUCAGCAUCAUUGGGGUGUACGGCAUGGGCGGCAUUGGAAAGACGACACUGGUGAAGGAGUUUGCAAGGCGAGCCAUUGAAGACAAGCUUUACGAUAUGGUGGCUUUUUCGGAGGUUACCCAAAGUCCAGACAUAAAAAAGAUCCAAGAGGAAAUUGCGGAAACGUUAGGCCUACAGUUGUCCGAGGAAGCUGAGUCUAGAAGAGCUGGUAGACUAUAUGAAAGAUUGAAGAAUGAGAAGAAGAUCCUUGUGAUUCUGGAUAACAUCUGGAAACCUCUUGAUUUGGGGACUAUUGGAAUUCCUUUUGGAGUUGAGCACAGAGGAUGCAAAUUAUUAUUCACAACAAGAGAUCUUGAUGUGCUGUUAAGGAUGGGAUCUGAAAAAAACUUGUCGAUUGGCAUUUUAAAUGAACAAGAAGCCUGGAGAUUGUUCAAGAUAAUGGCUGGUGAUUAUGUUGAAAAUCGUGAGUUAAAAUCUGCAGCAACAAGUGUAGCCAAGGCAUGCGGAGGUUUGCCUAUUGCCCUAACCACAGUAGCAAAGGCACUGAGAAAAAAAGAGCUGCCUGUGUGGAAGAAUGCCUUGCAAGAGCUCCAAACGCCUUCAGAGGCGAGCGUCGACGAAGGAGUACCAGCAGAGGCAUACUCAACAAUUGAGCUGAGUUACAAGUACUUAAGAGGUGAGCAACUCAAGAAAACUUUUUUACUGUGUAGUCUUAUUACGCCAGCACCAAUUAUGGACUUGUUCAAAUAUAGCAUGGGCUGGGGUGUAUUUAAAAGUGUCCACAAGCUAGAAGAUGCACAUAACAAAUUAGAUGCAUGGGUCCAUCAACUAAGAGACUCUUGUUUGCUGCUUGAGGAUGGUGGCAGUAAAUACUUUUCUAUGCACGACGUUGUUCGCGAUGUUGCCAUUUCAAUUGCAUGUCGUGACAAAAUUGGAUUUGUGGUGAGAAAUGGCCAAAUGCAGAUGAAUUAAAAAAAUAUCUUGCAAUUUCUUUAAAAGAUAGUAUUAUUAAUGACAUUCCUGAAGGGUCCGAAUCUCUACAACUUGAACUUCUACUCAUGUCUCCCAAGAACUCUUUUGCUGUGCCUAAUAUUCCUGAGAACUUCUUCAAAAGGACGAAAAAGCUUCGGGUUUUGGAUUUGACUAGAAUGCGGUUAUUGUCAUUGCCAUCUUCAAUUGGUCUUCUAGUAAAUCUUCAGACACUUUGUCUUAAUCAAACCAUUUUGGGAGGCAUAGACAUAGCCAUUAUUGGAAAGUUGGAAAAUCUAGAAAUCCUCAGCUUCGUGCGGUCUGAUAUGGUGCAAUUGCCCAAAGCACUUGGUCAACUGACUAAGCUAAGGCAGUUAGAUUUAACUGACUGUUUCCGUCUAAAAGUUAUUGCUCCAAAUGUCAUAUCAAGCUUAAUCCGAUUAGAAGAAUUGUAUAUGGGUAAUUGCUCCAUUGAAUGGGAGGUUGAAAGAGCGAACAGCAAAAGAAGUAAUGCUAGCCUUGAUGAAUUGAUGCAUUUACCUCGGCUAACCACUCUAGAAAUUGAUGUUAAAAAUGAGAGUAUGUUACCAGAAGGCUUUUUGGCCAGAAAGCUCGAAAGGUUCAAAAUACAUAUUGGAAAUGGGUUAUUCACACAUCCCAUGCUUUUUAGACAACAGUGGUUUAAAAGUCGGCAGCACUUUUGGAUCAACAGUAAACGCAAGAGUUUAAGAGCAUUGAAGCUCAAGCUUGAUUUUAUGGACAUUUGCUCCAUGAAAUUGCAGGGCAUCAAUAACGUUGAAUACUUAUGGUUGGACAAGCUGCAAGGCAUCGAGAAUGUUCUUUUCAAUUUGGACACGGAGGGCUUUUCACAAUUGAAGCUUCUCUGGGUUCAAAAUAAUCCUGACUUCUUUUGUAUCGUCGAUUCAAGGGAGAUGGUCGCUUGUGAUGCCUUUCCUCUUUUGGAGUCACUUAUCCUUCACAACUUGAUCAACAUGGAGAGGAUAUGUAUUGAUCGGCUCAAAGUAGAGUCUUUCAACGAACUCAAAAACAUAGAAGCAUAUAAUUGUGAUAAAUUGAGUAAUAUCUUUUGGCUCUCUACUACAAAAUGCCUUCCAAGACUUGAGAGAAUUGCAGUUAUUAAUUGCAGCAAGAUGAAAGAGAUUUUUGCAAUUGGGGAAGAAGUUGAUAAUGCAAUUGAGAAGAUAGAGUUUGCUCAAUUAAGAUCUUUGAGUCUGGGGAAUCUUCCAGAGGUUACAAGUUUUUGCCGCGAGGUGGAGACUCCUUCAGCAUCACCAAACAGACAAGUGUCGCAAGAGGAAUCGACGACUAUGUAUAGCUCCAGCGAAAUCACUUUGGAUAUUUCAACUCUGCUUUUCAACGAGAAGGUGCGUAGGCUAACAGAUUUUAUUCUAUCAUGCGUUCUGUUUUGAUGUCAUACGUGGAAAAUAAUUAAAUCAUUUAAAGAAUUGAAAGAAAAUGGAAAAAAGGAUAAAAAGAAUCUCACGCGCUCACUAAUUGAGCUCUUAACAAGUAGUAUGAAUUAGAAUGCAUACUCAGCUGUCAGUUGGAAAUUGAUUCUGACUUGCAUUAAUUUGUAAUCAAAGAAGAAAAUUUCAACAAGUGCUUCCCAUAUGGAUAUUGGAUCUAACGAGAAAUUCUUAUUUUUUUAGGUAGUGUUGCCUAACUUGGAGGCUUUGGAGAUAUCUACAAUUAAUGUCGACAAGAUUUGGCACUACAAUCAUCUUCCGGUCAUGUUUCCUCGCUUUCAAAAUUUAACACGAUUGAUUGUAUACUGCUGUAUCAAAUUAAAAUACAUAUUUUCAGCGUCUAUGAUCGGAAGCCUGAAGCAGCUCCAACACCUAGAAGUAUGCUUAUGUGAGGAUUUACAGGAGAUCAUUUCUGAAAACAGAGCAGAUCAAGUGAUCCCUUAUUUUGUCUUUCCACAGCUCACCACUCUGAGACUCCAAGAUCUACCAAAACUUAGAUGUUUGUACCCUGGAAUGAAUACUUUGGAAUGGCCCGUGCUAGAAAUUCUUUUUGUGUAUGGUUGUGACAAAUUAAAGAUAUUCGCUGCAGAUUUAUCGCAGAAUAAUGAGAAUGAUCAACUUGGUAUUCCUGCACAACAGCCCCUAUUGCCGUUGGAAAAGGUAUGAAGUCAUUUUCUAGAUUUUUUAUCAAUAGCUUAUUUUUAACUUUGAAAAAUAUGACAAAGUAUCGAUAAAUUAAUACUCAAUAAAUUAAAAACUUUUAUUAUACAAUAAUCUUUGCUAGUCUAGACUAAGGGAUCAAUGUCGUAGAUUAAUAAUUAUAUGAACUGUUUUAGGUAUAGCAUUUAUAAAAGAAUCCUUAGUCUUUCCAUAUAGAAGAACUUACAAAAUAAAUUAGUAAUUUAUUAUUGUGCAAUAAAAUAAUUUCGAGCCAGUAUAAAUCAACCUUUUUUCCCUAAUUUCUUUUUUACCUCUAAAAUUAACAUAUAAAAUAAAUUUUAUCAAUAAUUCAAUUUUUUUUAAAAAUAUAAUAUAAAACAAAUACUAUAAAGUCACUGCAUGUGACCGUAGAUCAUCAAUUGACCUCAUUAGUUAUUAUGAUUGAUGAUGAUCAGAUCGUACCCAACUUGAAGAAACUAUCACUAAGUGGAAAAGAUGUGAAGAUGAUUUUGCAGGCCGAUUUUCCACAACACCUUUUUGGCAGUCUUAAACAACUAGAGAUUGUUGGAGAUGACUCAGCUUGUUUUCCAAUCUGGAACGUACUGGAGAGAUUUCACAAUCUUGAAAUGCUCAUACUGCGUUAUUUUUCAUUCAACGAAGAGGAAUUUUCGAAGGAAGGAUGCUUAGAGAAACAUGUGGGGAAGUUGGCAAUGAUAAAAGAAUUACAGCUGCACGGGCACGAUCAUCUUGAGCAGCUGUGCAAACAAGACUCCAAACUUGGCCCCAUUUUUCAGUAUCUUGAAAUUCUAGGAGUAUAUUAUUGUCAAAGUGUGUUAAUUCUAUUGCCAUCAUCAUCGGUAUCUUUUCGGAACCUAACAGAACUUGUAGCUUUCGGUUGCAAGGAAUUGAUACACUUGGUAACAUCCUCCACAGCAAAAACUCUAGUGCAACUCGUCACAGUGAGUAUACAUGGAUGCAGAGCAAUGACAGAGGUGGUAAUAAAUGACAAAGAUGGAGUUGAAAAAGAAGAGAUUGUUUGCUGCAAAUUGAAGAUGUUGGGACUGUUUGAUUUAGAUAGCCUCACAAGUUUCUGCUCUGCCAAUUACACCUUCAAAUUCCCAUCUUUACAAGAUUUGAAUGUGAUUGGUUGUCCCAAGAUGAAGAUUUUCACUACAGGAGAAUCAAUCACGCCUCCAAGAGUAAAUGUCUGGUAUGGAGAGACAGGGGAUCGAUUGCUUUGGACCAAUAAUGAUCUCAACACAACCAUACAACAAUUACAUGCUGAAAAGGUACGGAUAUACAUAGUACUCUCUAUCUCCCAUGGAAACAUUUUACAAAAUUUUUAUUUUAAUAAAAUAUAGAUAAGAUAUUUGUUAUAAAGUAAAAGUUUAAAUUGAUGAAUAAGAAUUUUAUUUUCAGCUGUUGGCGGUGCAGUCGGCGAUCUCUACCCAUUACUAAUUUCAUAGGCUUCUUAUGACUUGGGAGUUGUGAAUUUUUAGAAGAAAGCCUCAGCUGGUAAUUAAUUUUUAUUUCAUUUAUUUGAUCUCAUGGCUUGUUUCGCAAUUUCAUCUGAAUUAUUUAGAAUGGGUCAAUCGGCUUACUGUUAAAUUUGGAAUGCAAUUUUAAUGAUUCGUUCAGACUUUUGUGGACAGAUUUUGCAUCAUUGAAUGUCUUCUAGUCUAGUUUAAUUUGAGUAUUUUUUUCUUUUUUUCUAAAAUUUUAUAAUUCCUUGCAUACUUUGUAUGAUAAAAUUUCAUAAAAAGCCUUCAUAUUUUAUAAUUCCUUGAAAACAUCAUUGUUGUUCUGUUAUUUUAGUUUGUUCAUUUGGUUUGGUUUGCUUCACCCCUAUCUUUCUUUGGAAACUUUUUGUUUUUUUUUUUAUGAUCUUUCCAAAUGCUCUUUCCUAUGAACACAUAAUUAAGAACAGCUGAAAAUCAUUCAUCGGAUAAAAAAUUAAAAAUAAACAAAAUCUAAUCAGAGCAUUAUGCCUAGAACAAAUCCUUAGACCAUCAAAGCCAAACUCUUCGCUAUGAAAAACUAUAUUGUGGAAAUAUUGUUUGAAAACGUUGGACACCAAGAAAGGGACUAAUUUGGUCUAGUUUUAUGAGAAGUAUAGAAGAACGUUGUUUUCUCUGUUUUUCCUGUUAGAACUCUUUACUCUAUGAUUGUAGAAUGUCUGGAUACUGAUGAAGAUUCAGGUAACUCUUCUCCUGUGCAUCAUUUGAAAUAAGUUUUUUUUUUUUUUUUUGGUAAUAUCUCCUACUGGGUUAUAGUUCAUACAAAGAGAAAUUCUUAAAUCAAGCCGGAUACUGGUAGAAACAAGUGGGGAAGUAGGCACUGAUAAAAUGGUUAAUCCUGUCCAGACUUAAUCAUUGAAGCAACUCCAAAUUGGACUCCAUUUUAAAUAUUUUGACAUUCUAAGACUAUUUUACAAGCAUUUAAUGAAUGAAAGUCUAGUGCAGCUCGUAACAAUGAAGGUAGCUGGAUGCAGGGCAAUGACAGAGGUGGUAAUAGGUGACGGAGAAGAAGAUGGAGCACCAAAUUUACUUUAAAUUAAUGAAUGAAAGAAUUUAUUUUCUGCUGUUGGAGGAGUCGUCAUCUCUCUCGACAUAGUAUACGAUAUGUUUUGAUCCCAUAGGCUUUUUAAUAUAUUACCUUGUGUUGUUUGAUCUCUAGGUUUAUUUUAUCGUUUCAUCUUAUUAUUUGCAAUGCGUCAGUUGGUUUAUUUGUUAAUUUUGGAAUGAAGUUGAGCGGGUAUCUAUUCGGCAAGAAAUUCUGUUUAUUUCCUAGUUAUUUUACAAAGUUUAAGAGAUUUUCUUAUUUUUCUUAUUAUUUUCAAUAUUUUUAUAUUUUUUCUCUAAAUAUAAGAUUUUAAGUAUGAUUUAUUUUAUUUUUCUUAUUUCAGUUAGGAGAACGUUAUUAUGUAAUAAUAUUUUAAGUUUGCCUAUUUUGAUAAAUACAUAAUACUUAGAAUUUGUGUAAAAAGGGUCCAAUACCCUAAUUUUGUUAUUCAAACUUCUAUUAAUAAAAUUUCAGACUUUUUAAAAAAAAUUCUCUAUAUUUUCAAUCUCAACAUCUAUGUUUCCCUUUCAUCAUAAGUUUUAAUGUCUGGUUCUGAGCUAGCUUUAUGUGCAUAUUAAACAUCAUUGAAGGUCUUUUGAUCUAAGUUGUGAUCAAAAAAUUAUGCUCGCUUCUGUCUGGUCGUAUGAAAAUUGUGCAAAAUAAUAUUCUUAUAUAAUUUUUAUCCUCCAUUGUUACAAAAUCCCAAGCUUCGAAUUUGUAAACUUUGAAAGCAUGGCAGAAAACUUAGUACUUAAUAAGGCUCUGGAAUAAGACUCUUUAUGGCUUCAAUAUUUUAUUUAACAUGAAAAUUUCUUUCUAACUAGCAUCAUUGCGAAGAUAAAUUGUGGUAGUUCUGACAAGUACUGCACAAUUAAUGUUACCAGCAAUCAAUUGUUGUGAGCACCGACAACCAUUUUCAUAUUUAAGCCUUAAGAACAGUAACUCAAAAUAUGGCAAGUGGCAACCACAUCAAAUAAUCAAAUUGUUGAUAGAUUUAGAGAGCUUUAAUUUGCUUGAUAUAUAUUUGAAUAUUUCAACAGAUGCAUCUUUUCUCUACUCACGGGGCACGUUGAGUUAGAAACGGUUUGAAUGUCAAUAUUACUCCAAGUGCCUCAACCAAAUUCAGAAUGAAAAAAACCAUCUGGUUACCUGCACUUUAGUUUAAGCAGCUGAUUAAGUUAGUUAGCACCAAGUAAUUCACAUACUGGUGAGAAAUUUCAUUAGUAAAUCAUCAUACCGGGGAGGAAACCAGCAUCUUGACGCUUUUGUGACCAAGAAAAUCUGCACAACCCGAUUAAUCAAGUUGUUACCAAACAAAUGAUCAAUUUAAUCAUGCCUUAAUUUUUUCUUUUUUUUUUUUUGUGCCGGGGGGGGGGGGGGGGGGGGGGGGGGGAAUAAAAAUCGUAACUUCAUUUACAUAUAAUUUUACAAAAUCAAUAGGACACUUACGGAGCACCUCCUACAGUCAUAGCAAGUCCAUUGGCAGCUCCUCUUUGAUGCUGUUCCCGUUAUUGUGGCAUAAACCAACAAAUUAAAUUUAAACUUUGACACAUACAAAAUUUGAUAAGGCUGAAAUCAUGGAAAUGUACUAAACAAAUAAAAGAAAAAAAUAUUUACCACUGCUCUGUUUUGAAGAAGGAAUAAUCCAGUUAUUAUAGCCACCUGAUGUUACAAUUCAGGAAAAGUAAAAAAGAAUUACAAGAAUUCUAAUAAAAAAGACAUAAAAUAAUUUUAUACAUACUUGCUGAUGGAUAAUAUAACCUACGUAUAUGGAUCAAUGAUUAGGAUAUCCACUUACAGAUAAAACAUUCUUCAUCACAGAAGCACAGUUUAUCAAUAAGGCAAGGCUGAACCCAGAUAACAUUGCUAUAAAAGUGUAACUUGUCAAAAGCGCCAUCGAUAAAACCUGUACACACAUAGAAAAUUAUGGGACCAAAACCAUGAAGAAAAGUGUUUUAUAAACAAAUAUGUUUGAAACAAACUAUCAAAUGGUCUAAAUGCCACAUGGUGUGUUCAAAAUUUUACCCCUGCAAUGCGUGUUAUGAUUAUUGGCCCAAUGAUCCUCUCGACGUAAGGGUAUAGAGUGAGUUGAAAAAUAAGGAGGCUGAAUCUUGUAGUAAGUUCAAAAUGAGGACAAUCAUCAAGCAUGUGAUGGUGUCAAUGUAGUCAUUAUAAGAGAAGCGAAAGUUAUAUUUUAUAGUCUCACCAAUAAGAAAAUUUGAAGUUAUGGGAGAGUUGCUAUUACAUGUACAAUUCAGCCUGAAAAGAGAGCUAAAGGCUACGUACCGGAAUCCAGCAAGAAGCAAUAGUUACCGCAAAAGCAAAGAGUGACAUACAGAGACAGGGCAGAGAUGAAUUCAGUCAGCUGAAUCAAUUGAAGAGUGAAGUGCCAGCUCAGCUGAAGUUAGUUAGACACGUUUAGAUCAUAUUCAGUUAGUUUCUUCAUUUUCUGUUAAGCUGUAAACAGCUGAGUAUAAAUACAAGCAUCUUGUAAUCAUUGAAGUUUUAAGCAAAAUAAAAUAAAGCAUUUGAUUUCAUAAGUCUUUUACAAUUUUCUCAGCACUUGAAAAUACAUUUUCUCAGUAACCAAACAGUCUAUUCAUUCAAGCUUUUAAGCUUUCAAACAUGGUAUCAGAGCCAUACAGAGCUAGUUCCAGUAAUCAACAGUCAAGCUUUCGUAAUCAAACAACAAACAACACAAAUCAACCUACUCAAAUCAACUUCUCUUUUACUAAUCCUAUCAAGCUAGAUCGAUCAAAUUACUUACUCUGGCGUUCUCAAGUUCUAGCUUCAAUAAGAGGCAAUCGUUUGGAAGAUUUCGUCAUAGGAGACAGAUCAGUACCUGAUAAGUGUCUUCUGUUAACUGAAGCAGAUGGAUCUAUACAACAAAUUGAAAAUCUAGAAUAUCAGAUCUGGAGAUCACAGGAUUAGACACUUCUUGAUUGGCUACUGUCGUCAUUAAGUGAAGGUAUCUUAAGUCUUGUUAUCAAUUCUGAGAGUUCUUUUGAUAUAUGGAAAACUUUGGAAAAGAAAUUUGGAGUUCAAUCUAAAGCUCGACUGCUUCAGCUCAUAUAUGAACUAAACACUAUUAAAAAGGAAGCUCUUAGUGUUGAAGAUUAUUGUAUUAAAAUGAAAGCAAUAGCUGAUAAGCUGGCCAGUGCUGGUAGUUCCAUUACAGAGAAGGAUCUUAUGUUAACUAUUCUUAAUGGAUUAGGACCAGGAUAUCGUGAUAUUGCUACAUUUAUAACUGGUUCACAAAUGGAAUUUGAUGAUGUUUAUGCACUGUUACUCACUCAUGAGACUAGAUUAGAGCAGGAGCAAGGUGACAAAAGUAUGUUUAAUGCAAACUAUGCAUAUACGAAUGCAUAUUAUCCUAGAGCUUAUUUUGCACAGCCUAGAGGAAGUUUUAAACGAGGAGGUUAUUCUGGUGGUAGAACUCCUUUCUUUGGCAGAGGAAAUAUGAAUUACUCUCCAAGAAUGUUUAAUGGAGGUUUUAAAAAUGGAUAUGGCAGAGGAUUUUUUUCCUGGAAACAACUGAUUUCAAUCAUUUUCCAGCUCCUAGGAAUCCAGUACCUAGGAACUCAUCUUUUCUAACUAGAAAUGGAUCUGCUAACAUGAGUGGAUCACAAGGAAGUUUUAAUAAUGCUGGGGAGCUGGUAUGUCAGAUUUGCUUUAAGAGUGGUCAUACUGCUGAUGUCUGUUGGCAUAGAUUUGUUGAAGACUUUGUACCUGUUCCAAGAGGUUUUGGCAGGGGAAAAACACCAAGAGCAGCAUAUUUCUCAAACUUUGAUGGCUCUACUUCUAAUCCAGAUUUUGGCUAUGAAAAUCUUAAUAAUAUGUUUCCAGGUUAUGAUUCUAUGUCUGGCAAUAGUUAUUAUUAUGGAAUGGAUAGAUACACUUCUGGAGCAGCUGGAACAGCCUUUAUGGCUAAUUUUGAAGGAACUGCUGAUGAUGGAUGGUAUCUGGAUAGUGGGGCAACUCACCAUUUAACCAACAACAUGGAGAAUUUGCAGAUCAAUGAAGAGUUUAAAGGUACUGAUCAGCUUAUCAUUGGAAAUGAUCAAGGUUUGUCUAUUACUCAUGUUGGACAUGCAUUUCUGGUGUUAAGAGCUUCUAAAUCCUUAUCUACACAUGCUAGAAUAACACUUAAAGAUAUGUUACUUGUUCCUUCAAUUACCAAAAAUCUAUUAAGUAUUUCCAAACUCACAUCUGAUAAUCCUGUAUAUGUUGAAUUCUGUGGAAAUGUUUGUUUUGUGAAGGACAUGAAAGGUCAAGUUCUUCUGCAGGGUAUUGCUGAAAAAGGCCUUUACAAGCUGCUGCUGAACUCCAAUUCUCUUUCUUCAUCACCUACAUCCUAUCUUUGUAAAUCCCAGCCAAAUAAACCAGUUUCUAUGUUAUCUGCUUUCAAACACUGUGAUAAUGGUACUCGAGCUUGCUAUCAGUCUGUUUUAAAUAAGUGUAAUGCCAAACCUGAUAUAAUAACUUUGUUACAUAGAAAGUUUGGUCAUCCAAGCUCAAUGACAUUGGUGCAUUUGCUUAAAUCAUGUAAACAAUUUAAAGUCUCUUCAAAAGACAUGUUAUCUUCUGCAAAUACUUUAUGUGAAGCAUGUCAGCUAGGCAAAGUCCAUAAGCAACAUUUCUCAAUAACCGAAACAAAAACAAAAGGGGUAUUAGAAUUGAUCCAUACUGAUCUUUGGGGGCCUUCACCCACUAUGUCUAGAGAUGGAUACCAAUACUACAUUAGUUUUGUGGAUGAUUAUACUAGGUACUCUUGGAUCUAUCCUCUUAAGCUCAAAUCACAAGCAUUUGAAGUUUUUAAAUUGUUCAAAACUCAAGUUGAGAAUCAAUUUGAUACCAAAAUUAAGAUGCUACAAUCUGAUCUUGGGGGAGAGUUUAGAGUGUUUACUGAUUUUCUUAAUCAAAAUCGAAUAAUUUUUAGACACUCAUGUCCUUACACCCAUCACCAGAAUGGUCUUGUUGAGAGGAAACACAGGCAUAUAGUUGAGCUAGGCUUAACUCUCAUGGCUCAAGCAAACCUUCCUCUUCAAUUCUGGUGGGAAGCUGUUCAUACAGCAGUGUAUCAUAUUAACAGAUUGCCUACCCCUGUUAUGAAAUUCUUAUCUCCUUAUGAGAAACUUUUCAAACACAAACCAGAUUACACAUUCCUGAAGUGUUUUGGUUGUCUUUGCUAUCCAUACUUGGGAGAUUUUAACAAACAUAAGUUUGAUUUUCACACUUCUAAAUGCAUCUUUAUUGGAUACAAUCCCUCUUACAAAGGAUACAAGUGCUUAGCAAGUUCUGGUAAAGUCUAUGUUCUUAGACAUGUUAUUUUUUAUGAAAACACAUUCCCUUAUCCAAUAAACACUACAUCUCACUCAUCAGAAAACCCCAUAUCUUCUUAAACCUCAGUGUCUAAUUUCUCUCAACAACAUAUCUAUCAUCUUUCUACAAUGGCCUUACCCAACAGCAGCUUUGAAGGUCUUCAGUCAGCAGGCUCAGCAAGAAAUGAACAAAUUCCCUUUGUUCCCACACAUACAAAUAUUCUGAAUCAACAAGAACAUCCAUCACACACAUCUUUAGAGUUAUCAUCCUCAACCUCACCAUCACCAAACACAUUACCACUACAAUCAUCCAUUCUACAACCAGAGGAAAUUUCUAUUCCACAGAACACAGACCAAAUUCAAACCAGAAGUCAUUCUCAACCAUCUUCUCAUCCAAUGAUUACAAGAUCAAAAUCUGGAAUCUUCAAACCAAAGGUUUAUACAGUCACCUUAGCCAACAAAGAACUAAUACAGUUCAAGAAGCUCUUAGCAGUCAGAAUUGGCAUCAGGCCAUGGUAGAUGAGUAUGAAGCUUUGAUAAAGAAUGAGACUUGGUCACUAGUACCAUUUUCAAAUGCAUACAAAGUAGUUGACAACAAAUGGGUGUUUAGACUCAAGCAAAAUACUGAUGGAAGCAUAGCCAAACACAAGGCCAGGUUGGUUGCCAAAGGUUUUCAGCAAAUUGAAGGUGUAGAUUACUUUGAGACUUUUAGCCCAGUUGUAAAAGCUUCAACAGUAAGGAUUGUUUUGAGUUUAGCUGUGAUGCAUAAAUGGAAAAUAAGGCAAGUGGAUGUGAAUAAUGCCUUUUUGAAUGGAGAAUUGACAGAAGAUUUCUAUAUGGAUCAGCUUGAAGGUUUUAUUGAUCAACAAAAACCCAAUCAUAUAUGUAAGCUGAAGAAGGCCUUGUAUGGCUUGAAGCAAGCUCCUAGAGCUUGGUAUGACAAGCUUAAGAAUUGUCUGAUUGCUACUUGGAAAUUUCAGAAUUCAAAGGCUGAUACCUCUCUCUUUUUCAAAGAAGUGCAAGGCUCAAUGACACUUAUCGUAAUCUAUGUUGAUGACAUUCUAAUAACAGGACAUGUUAAUGAUGAGCUGGAAAAAUUCAUCUCAGAAUUCAGUAAGACUUUUGCCUUAAAAGACUUGGGAAUUCUAUCAUAUUUUCUGGGGAUAGAAGUUUCCUAUGUUGAAGACUGCAUCUAUCUAUCUCAGAAGAAAUAUAUCUUGGAUUUGUUAUCCAAAGCUGAUAUGCAGAAUUGUAAAGGCUGUGACACUCCCAUAGUUACUGGAUCAAAGCUUCAGAAAGAGGUCAAAGGCUGUUUGGCUCAAUAUAUUGAGGAUGCAACAAGCUAUAGAAGCUUAGUUGGAGGUUUACAAUAUCUGGUAUUAACCAGACCAGAGAUAACAUUUGUUGUGCAUAAGUUGAGCCAAUAUGUGACAGCUCCAACACUCCAGCAUGUUAUGGCUUGUAAAAGAGUUCUCAGAUACCUUAAGGAAACUAUAGAUUAUGGUUUGAAGUUUUCAGCAGGUGGGGAAAUGAAGAUCACAGGAUUUACAGAUGCAGAUUGGGCAUGUGAUGUUGAUGACAGAAAAUCAAUAGGAGCAUAUUGCAUCUAUUUUGGAAACAAUCUAAUUUUAUGGUCAUCCAAGAAGCAGGCUGUGGUUACACGAUCCAGUGCAAAGAGUGAAUAUCGUGCUCUGGCUUCUGCAAGUGCAGAGAUAACAUGGAUCCAGUCAUUAUUCAGUGAACUUAGCAUUAAGUGUACUUCAUUACCAACUAUCUGGUGUGAUAAUAUAAGUGCAACAGAGUUAGCUAAGAAUCCAGUUUAUCAUUCAAGGACUAAACACAUUGAACUAGACAUGCACUUUAUUAGAGACAAAGUUUUGGCAAAGGAGUUGGAGAUUAACUAUAUUCCCAACGAGGAGCAAAUUGUUGAUGCUUUGACAAAGCCUCUGACAUUCAUUCACUUCAAUUAUUUCAGGGCCAAACUCAAUGUGCAACCAUGCCCUUGAGUUUGAGGGGGGCUGUCAAGGAAGCUCAUAAUGCAUGGAAGGAUGCAGCACACGUGUGAGAUGAAUGCAGUCAGCUGAAUCAAUUGAAGAGUGAAGUGCCAGCUCAGCUGAAGUUAAUUAGACACGUUUAGAUCAUAUUCAGUUAGUUUCUUCAUUUUCUGUUAAGCUGUAAACAACUGAGUAUAAAUACAAGCAUCUUGUAAUCAUUGAAGUUUUAAGCAAAAUAAAAUAAAGCAUUUGAUUUCAGAAGUCUUUUACAAUUUUCUCAGCACUUGAAAAUACAUUUUUUCAGUAACCAAACAAUUUGUUCAUUCAAGCUUUUAAGCUUUCAAACGGGCAGGAAGUAAGGAAACCUGCAUAAAUUUGUUUUUCAGAAUACCAUCAUUUUGAAAGUACUACAGAAAAAGAAAAGGCUAAUGGCAGUAAAAAUUCACUUACUUUCCAAACAUAGAUUCUUUGGAAAAUGCCUUUGGAUAUUUCUCUGCUGGCUAGAUUGCAAAAUUAUCCACGAAUAUAUAUAAGAACAAUAUUUAUCAAGCCAAACUACUAAAAAUUCAAAAAAAAAUGCCCAUAAUAAUCAAGUAAAAAUUGCAGAACCCGGGCCAGAAAGCCACCCACUGCAGGGCCAAUAAUCAAUCCUGUGCCCCAUGCUGUACUGAGCUGAAAUUAUAUUGUACCUAAAAAUGUAACUUUUAGAGUCUCUAGCCACUGAUGAGGACACGUCUUUUGUCUGCUAGCGGAAAGCGCGUGACGGCAUGUUUUUUGUCAGAGCCUAGAGACGAAGAGGGAAGGAAAAAAAAAUAUCAUUAAUUUUUUUUCCUCUCUCGGUGGGCCCCACGUAAGGUGGGGCUUUGGUUUUUGUCGCAUUCUGUGGAGGGUGUAUAUCUAAAUCAACCCCUUGAAUACGGACACGUGUCGAUCUCAGAGAAACUCACGUUUUGUUGUUGGGACCCAUUAAUUCCCGUAAAAGUCCUAUUCUUAAAACAAGUCGAUACGAUGAUCAAUACUCCGCCUGUGGGUCCCGGCGACGACCCCCUACGCUGGGCAGUACAACACUCAAAAAUCGCCACGUGUUAUAUUUUAAAAAGCUUUGGGGGAGCGAAUCGAUAGAUUUUUUCUUUUCGUGACAAAGCACGCGGGGGGGGGGGCCUCCCUGGUGGAUUUGCCCGCCGUUGAUCAAUUUGUUUGAUGAUAAAGAUUCAAGCAAUCAUACACGAACUUGAUUCAAUGGAGCUUCAAAAGAUUGGCAUUGCAGUGAAGUCCUGAGUCUUCUACUCAUCUUUUAACAACCUUUGCAGAAGCACAACAACAGGGACAAAUUCUGCAUAAUCGGGAAAAGAAAAAUCAGAAGACGUCAUAUUGAAAUGCAUUCAUAUUAAUUUGACAAGAAGAGAAUCAAACGCAGACCUCGUUAAAAAUCUUGUAUGCAUACGCAUAUAAGAGAAGUUCAAUAAUUGCGACGCAGGAUCAUUGCCGAAGCAUUAAACAAAUACGAGGCAGAGAAAGAGGAGCUCUGAGGAAGAGCGUGUUAGUGUGGUAAUACAAUAUCCUCGAUGCUUGCUGAAUGGUGGACAGUGGCGUUGGAAUAUCAUCUAAUAAAAGGAGAGAAAGAGGUGGCAACUGGCAAAGUGGGUGAGUGAAAGUUCAAGGCUGAAGCGGUUGGCUAAACUUUGUUAAAAAGAUGCACAUAUUGAUAAUAAUAUACGACCGUACGUUGUCUGUUAACUUGGAACUCUUUAGCAUUUAAGCGAGUCUCUCUCUCUCUCUCUCUCUCUCUCUCUCUACGAUUGGGAAUUGGGAUUUCGGAUCGGGAUCUACCGUAUUCUCCGUCUAUCCUAUGCAUGUCAUCAUACAUCAGUAAGCGUGCGUGCCUCUGCGUCUCCCCCUCUCCUUUUUACACAACUAUUUACCGUUACUAUUUCUUUGUCAAUUCCCUUAUUUCGUGGUACUUGUAAUAAGACGAAAUUAACAAAGGAAGAAAAUGCUAAGGUACUUCAUUAGGCACAUUUCUCAUGCGUACUUGAAAGUAAUCAGAACCGUUGAUCUUUCCCCGAUGGGCCACCCACUGCAGGGCCAGUAAAAUUUUCUCAAGACCUUUGCAAUCAUACACGAACUUUGCAAUCAUACAUUCCUAAAGUUUGGUGUUUAUGGCGCAAUAUUUCACAUGCAUAUGCCUGGUGUAAGAGAAGUUUGAGCACAAAUAUUUGCAAGAAUUAAAUUGGAAUUAUCAACAAAUACCCCAAUCAAUACCUUUAUUGCUCCAAGUAAACCAUUCAAAGCCCCAAGGAGAAACCUUGUAGCUAUGGCCAUCCAGAAAUUCACACUAAGCCCAAAGAGAGUGUUAAAAAUAACCCUGUGAGCAUUUUAAGACAAAUAAGAAACCCAGAAAUUGCCAACGUAUCAUCAAUUUCAAGCUUAAUCAUUUGAAAAUAGAGGUCACUAACAAUGUGAUGCAUCCUAUUAUUAUUACAGGCUUUCGACCGAAGCGGUCAGCUCCCAUUCCCCACAAAAAAGAUGUUAAAGCUCUGCCAAGCAUGUAUGAAGACCCUUCAAUUUCAUCAAGGUAUUAAGAGGUUUGUCAGGAUGGCUUCUUGAGGAAUUUGAAAUGUUACAUACAUAUAUGUUAAUUAUUUGUCAGGAUGGCUUCAAUUUCAUCAAGGUAUAAAGGCGCAAGUCUGCAGUGUAAAACCCUUGUACAGUACCUUUACAGUGUCGUAAAGCCCUCGGUAGAAUGUUUUUACAGAGUUGUAAAGGCGCGAGUCUGCACAUUUGUACCAAAAAAGGACUCCAUACCAUGUGUCAUUUAUUAAACACAAUAAAAUUAUAAAAAUACAUAAAUUAACUCACCCACGUAACCAGCAUAGAAUCCAAUAUCUUCCUCCCUUUUUGCAAUGUGAAAAUCCCUAAUCUGAAAAGAAAUCAUAACAUACUGUUGUGAAAAAGCAAUGAAUUGUUUGAUAGAUAAAACUUGUCUUUUCUUAUAUUUCUAAGAAAAUCAGCAAGCAUGAUAGAAAAAUAUAAAUUUUCUCACUAGUAACUACUCUGGUGAAGGCAACAACAGUCCACUCACCAUAAAAUAAAGAAAGGGAAAGAGAGAUGCGACCGGCAGAACUGAAAAAAAAAAAAUCACCAAAGAAUUAAGGACAAAACUAGAAGAGCACAAUAGGCCAAAAUCAUUGUAAAUGGUUCUCUCAAAAAUCAUUAUAUCGAGUUGAAGUUGAAAAAUUUACCAGUUGCAAGCACAACAAUCUAAAUUAUAAAAAGCUUGCGAAUUGGUAAGCCUCGUUCCGACUCUUUAAGCUUAUCAACCUUACAGCCUGAGCAGUUCUCAUAAUAUUUCUUCUUCAGCAGCGGCUCUCUCACUUUCGCCUCCGCCAUACUUGAAAAAUUUUCAGCUCAAGUAAUCGUCUUAGUCUAUGCAAUCCAAUUUCAAUGCCUAAAUAUAAGUACUAGAAAAUAAGUAACAAAAUCAAUAUGCUUAAGGAUAUAGUAGAACUAUAUAAGUGAUCAUUUAAAGAAUUUUCAAUAGAAUUGUAAAAUCAGUUGAUUUUGCAGCUGGGUCUGUCACCACCAUGGUAAUUAAAAUUAUUGGAUCCCAUGUAAAACAAAAUUUUUUCAUUACAUGCCCUCAUUGCUGACGUCCAAUUAAUCAUUACUCUUGUGAGAAUAAUUUUUGGUGACAAGAACGGCGGCAUCCUAGGACGUGACAAAAUAGUCACAAAAAUCCCUUAUUUUAAAAAAUGAUCAUGAAAAUUUAUCCACGGACACACAAAUUCAGGAUCUAUGUAACUAUUUUUAAAUACAAAAAGAGGUCUAUAUAUAUAUUUGAAAAUAAGGGAUAUUCAUGAUUACCAUGUUAAGCCACGAGAUGUCGUGCUGUUUUUUUAUUUUUCAUUAAAUCGUUGUUACACAAUUCGACAUGUAAAAGUAAUUUUUUUUUUUUGAGAGAUGGUAACAAACAUAGUGACAAAACUAUCAAAGUACCGUCUAAUGAUGAAACUAAUUGUUAAUUAAUUAAUAAAAAUACUAAGGUGACGUUUGUUUUUUAACUUAAUGACUUAAAGUGACUUAACUUAAUUAAUUAAGUUAAUUAGAGGUGUUUGUUUUUAUAACUUAAUGAGACUUUUUAGAUAAUUUUGACUUAAUAAAAUAAGCCAAUUUUUUUAGUUUUUUACUUAAUGGAGAAAUUUGAAUUAAGUCAAUUACUUACUAAUGUCAAAAAUAUCCAUGUUUUAUAAUUUAUUUUUCAUGUCUAUCCCAAAACUCACCCAUAGACAUUUAUCCCACAUAAAAAUAUCCUUGUUUUUUCUUUCUUAUAUUAUAUAUGAUAAAAUUUAAAAUUUAUGGUAUUUUAUAUAUAUAAAUUCCAAAAUAAUUAUGUAUUCACUUGAAUAUAGUUUUACUUAUAAAUGUUAAAAUAUUGUGGUAUUUAAUAUAUUAUUUAUUUGACUUUCAAAUUUAAUAAGGAUACAAAAGUAAAAGUACAUAUUUUCAGUUGAAAAAAACAAACAACUUAAUACUUAUUUUCUGAGAUUCAGACGAAAAAACAAACAUGUUAUUUAGAUUCAGACAUUCAGAUCUAUUCAGAAUUCAGACUAAUUCAGGUCUAUUCAGAUUUCAGACAAAAAAACAAACGCCACCUAAGUGAUUGUAGCAGUUCCGGUCACAGUCACAGUCAAAUACAAUUAGGAUAAUUUAAUUUAAAUAAUGUGUAAUUUAGCGUUAGCCCCAAUUGUUUUGACAUUUUGCAUUGUGCCCCCCAAUCUUCCGACCAUGUCCACCACCCUCAUUUCUUUCAAAUCUAAUGUUAACGGAAAGAGGGGUAGAAUGGUAAUUAACACAAAAUUAAAAUAAUAUAUAUAAUUAAAAAAAAAACCCUUUUUUCCUUCGCCGCCUCUAUAAUUUAAUUUUGGGUUUGAUAUCUUUAGUUUUAAGAUUUUUGAUUAUUGAGUUUCUUUUUAUCGAAUUUUCUUAGUAUGAAUUUAUUUUGUAAUAGAAUUUUACAAUGAAAUUUGCUCUCAGGGAUUUUGGUAUCAUUAGUUUAGGGUUUCUUUCUAUUGGGUUUUAUUUAUUUUGGUGGGAUUAUUGGACUUAUUUUGUAAUGUACUGAUGAAUGUGUGUUUGAUUUUUUUCUUUCACAUUGGAAUCAUGCUUUGCCUCUGAUUUUGUAAUUUACUAGGUUAUAAUCUUGGGUUCGUAAUCCGGAAAAAAAUUGUUUCCAUAUAAUUUUAAAAAUAUUAUAAUAAAUUUUUACUUUUUGAUUUAAAUUUUAUUAGUUGUAAGGGUAUUUUAGUACUUAUAUACCCAAUUCAUUUCAAAACAGGGGGUAGUAUAGUCUUUUAAAUUUAUAACAGCCUAAAUAGUUAGAUUAGUUGAUUUUUUAAUAGAAAUAGGGGGAGGUGCACAUGGUCAAAAGAUGUGGGUGCGCUGUGUGAAAUACUGAACAAUUGGGGGCUGAUACUUAAUUAUCCUUAAAUAAAUUAUUAGUUUAAUGGAAGGAACAAAAUUCAGGAAAAGAGGAAUCAAACUGCAAAAGGAAUUAGGAUACCUGAAAAGAAAGAAUGAAAAUAACUUUUUUUUAAAAUUAUUUAUUUGGACAUUGUGACAAACAAGUGAUGUGCAUUGUUAAUUCUGAUUACCCCAAAAUGUCGAGUCUUUAAAAACGACAACAUUACAUGAUUCAUGAGAAUCCUAUCACUUUGAGAUUAAUUUAAUUAAAAAAAAGUUCCGUUUGCUUAAUACUAAAAUGUCACACUGAUCCAUAGUUGAGCCAAUUAUCUAGUUAAAAGCUACCUCCAUAUUUUUUAUUUUUACCCUAAUGCAUGUUUGAUUCUUUUAAAAUUUUACGUUAUAUAUAUUAAACAAAAAUUAUAAUUUUAAUCAUUGGAAAAUUAAUGACAGACAUCUUUUGAAUAAUUUUUUUUUUUGAAAAAUACAGAGCUAGAGAUAAUGCUAUAAUUGAUUGAAUAAGAAGGCUACAACUUGAUGAUAACCUUAUUGCAAUGUUGCGUGAUCUCAAUAUAUUAUUGGCUUUUGUGUGAGUAAAAGUUGCUGGCUCGUGUUUUACUAAUUUGCCUUUGUAUUUGACUGGCUCGACAAAGAAUCGAUUUACCUCAUACUCAAAUUACAAACAUCAAAACCGGAUCUGUCAUUACGUUAAUUGGCCUCCUAAAAUAAUCAAUCACUUUCUCUUUAGUCUACCAUCCACUCUUUCCAGUCGUUAAUUAUUCUGUACCCAUCAGCUCUUUUAGCUCUUUACGUCGUGAUAGAAACCCUUUUCUUGUUUCCUUCAUCUCAUCUGAAAAACACAAUUGCUUGUCCUAUCGCUGUCUCUUUGUUUUUACUUUCGUUUGGCCUUCUUCGCUUCUACGUUUUUGUCAGGCUUCGAGAUGCUGGAAAUCAUUGUGACUAUCGUCUUGGAACUUGUAAAAUGCUUGGCUCCUCCAACUGCACGCCAACUUGUUUAUUUGCGAAAACGGAACUACAAUGCCAACUUUGAGAAUAUCAAGGCGGAAAUGGAGAAGUUGAAGGUUGAACGUACGAGCAUUCAGCGCAGGGUUUCAGAGGCGAAAGAAAAAGGGAAAGAGAUUGAAGAGAAGGUUGAAAAGUGGCUGGUUAGUGCGAAGUGCGAACGGCAUCAUUGACCGGGCAGCCAAAUUCAUUGAAGAUGAGGAGUCAACGAAUAAGCGCUGUGUGAAGGGCUUGAGUCCUAUUUGGAAGAGUCGCUAUCAGCUUAGCAAGAAAGCAAAGACGGAGGUGAAGGCCAUUAUUGAACUUGGAGAAGAAGUUAAGAAGUUUGAUACUGUUUCCCACCGUACCAUUCGGGAGGAGAUAUGGUUACGAGGCCUUCGAAUCAAGACUUCCUACUUUGCAGUCUAUAAAAAAUGCAUUGACGGAGGCGAAUGUCAGCAUUAUUGGGGUGUACGGCAUAGGCGGCAUUGGAAAGACCACACUGGUGAAGGAGUUUGCUAGGCAAGCCAGGGAAAAGAAGCUGUUGUAUCGGGUGGUUUUAUCAGAGGUUUCAUAAACUCCAGAGAUAAAAAAGAUUCAAGGGGAAAUUGCAGAGAAGUUAGGUCUGGAGUUGUCCGAUGAAGCUGAAUAUAGAAGAGCUAGCAAGCUGUAUGACCGAUUGAAGAGUGAGAAUAAGAUUCUUGUGAUUCUAGAUAAUAUCUGGAAACAUCUUGAAUUGGAGACGGUUGGAAUUCCUUUUGGAAAUAAUCAUAAAGGAUGUAGAUUGUUGCUGACAGCACGAGAUAAUACUGUGCUUUUAAGUAUGGGCUCCAAAGAUAACUUUUUGAUUGGCAAUCUAACUGAACAAGAAGCCUGGAGAUUGUUUAAGAUAAUGAAUGGUGAAGAUGUUGAAAAUUGUAAGUUCAAGUCUACAGCAAUUAAUGUAGUUAAGGCAUGUGGAGGUUUGCCCAUUGCGUUGAGGGCACUGAGAAACAAGAGUCUCCAUGAAUGGAAGAAUGCCUUGCGAGAGCUCCGAACGCCUUCAAUGGUAAACUUCGAAGGUGUGUCUGCAGAGACUUAUUCAAGUAUUGAGCUGAGUUUCAAUUAUUUAAGGGAAAUUAUCAUUUGUAUACCCUUAGUUUACUCCAUUAUCAAAAAUACUACAAUACUUUGAGGGUGUAUCAAUUGUCCACCCUAAGUUGACAAAAUGUAUCAGCUGACCACCAAACCGUUAGUUGCCGUUUAAGUAUGAUGACGUCAGAAGGGUAAUUUGGUCUUUUCAUAUGAUACAAGUGAUAAUUUAAGGGUAUAUAAGUGAUAAAAAGAGAAUUUAAGGGUAUACAAGUGAUAAUUUUCAAGGGUAAGAUUGUCAAUUCACUGUAACUCCGUUAACUUUCAAACGGCAACUAACGGUUUGGUGGUCGGCUGAUACAUUUUGUCAACUAAGGGUGGACGAUUGAUACACCCUCAAAGUGUUGUAAUAUUUUUGAUAAUAGAGCAAAUAUAGGGUAUAUGAAUGAUAAUUUCCCAUUAUUUAAAAGGUGAGCAAGUCAAGAAAAAUUUUCUGCUUUGUCGUCUAGUAGGUAACAGUGUUUGGUUUUCAGACUUAUUUAGAUACUCCAUGGGUUUGGGCAUAUUUCAAGGAGUCAACAUUCCCUUCAUAUUUACCAAAGGUAAGUGAUAAAUCCUACAUAUCCCACUCAAGAAUGCAUAAGUUUCUUCAAUCUCAAGUACCUAAAGUUUUCUUCUACGUUUAUAAAAAUUUCAGCACCAUCUCCCUAUAAUUCUCCAAGCUCACGACAUAGCUAUAUAAGUGUUUAUGUGUUAUGCCAAAACAACACAUGACACCCGUUCACCUAGAACGUACCCAGAGAACACGAGGAGCAGCUACUGAAAAAGCCAUAUUUAUGUGGAAAGAAAACUUCAGCUACUAGCUACCAGAGAGAACUAUGCAUUCCCAAACUGUCCAAGCCUGGACAAUUCAAGAAUUAUUAAUAGACAUAUGAUCCUCACUAUCAUCCAAAGAUGACACUAAUACAACAUGUGUCUAUUAAUAAUUUCUUAAACAAGUCUAAGCUUUCAAUGCACGUAUCAAAAGUUUAAAAUUGAAUCUGAAAUUUGAAUAACACAUAAAUAUCAUAAAUCUCUUCAAUUUAUUCCUGAAACAAUGUAGCAUUAUUUCACACGUCAUUUCUUAAGCAAAACCAUAAAAAAUACAAACGAUAAAUACAUUUUCCCACUGAUGCAGAUUAUGUUUACUGAGUAAUAAGUUUUAUGUCAUUCAUGUUGAAAUACUUCUGCCUAUUCUUUCAACAUAUAACUAGUACGUACACACAAUUAAUAAAUUUAAAAAAAAAAACUGGUGGUGAAUCUUGCAAAAUCUUCCUUUUUUCUUUUUUUUUUCUUUUUCUUCUUUUUUUUGGGGGGGGGGGGUGUGUUGGGGGAACUAUGAAUCUUGCAAAUCCUCAAGAAGCCAUGUUAAGACAAGGCCAGCUUACUAUUAGGGUAUGAAAGAUAAAACCUUUUAUUUCCUUUUCAGAAUAAAAAGGACAUUGACAGUGUUAAAAAAAAUCUAGAGGAUUUCAGGCCUCCAGAUCCUUACAAAUCAAGGAUAUUAAAAAAAAUUACUUAAGAGGAGAAAGGUUAUGCUCAUUUGUAUCUUGUUAGAAGAAAUUGAUCCAAAGCCUCAGUUUUAAUUUGCUUCAUAUAGCCAAUGACUAGGUGUUUAAAAACCAAUGAAUAUUUUUAUAAGAAAUCAACAAUAUUAUUGAAAGAAAAACCAAAUAAAAAUAAUAAAGCCAAUGAAUAGAUCAAGGCUCUUUGUGGUCUAAAACUAAUCAAACUAAGUUGUGGGCAAAGGCGAAUAUGUUUGUUUGGUCAAUAAUAAGCUCAACAAAUCACUAAUAAUCACCUAAUCACUAUUCCUUAUGCUAUGCAAUAUAAUGGCCUGGGUAAUGGCGCCAAGGCAGACAAUAAGUAGCUAGCCAGUUAUGAUAGUUGAUUAACUUAACCUACUGGAAAUCUGAAGACCAAAACGAAGAAGCUUUGUCUAGAACUAGAAUAGGAACGUUCGUACCCAAAACUAAUAUACACAAUUAAGAAACUUGAUUAUAUGUAUAUUUCUGUUGGCCACACUUAAAGAGAAUUUCCAAAAGAUGCUAAGGUACACCAAAUCCCACUAUUUCAUACUCAUAAACACAAAAAACCAUGGUAAAAAUUAAUGACUAUAUCAAAUAAAAUCGGUGAUAGGACGUUGAGAUUAGGACAACUUGAUUUGUAUACCGUAAAAUAACUAUAUCUGCAUGGUGAACUAUAUUUCUGUUAGAACUCUGAAGUUUUCUAUUAAAUUUUUUUCUCUGUUAGGUAAACCACUUAACUGAAGUGCUUAAGCCAAUUUUGACAAUCAUAGACAUAAAAGUAUUAAUAGGCUCAUUCAAGUGAAAUGAGCAUUAUUUCACACAUCCUUUAGGUUUUUAAGUCAUUUAGAAGUCAUUCAUGUUAAAAAAAAAAAAUUCAUAUACUUUCAAUAUAAUUAGAACAUACACAAUUAAUUAAUUAAAUAAAUCUGUUUCAGCUAGUAUAGGAACUUAAUUAAUCAAAGCUAGUAGUUAUAGCUAGGACUUGAACGAGGCACCUUUCAAAGUUCAAGAAGAGCAUCUGAACAUAAUGAAAGCACUUUCUAGAUAUGGUAAUGAUGCUUUACAUCUACAUGCUCUUACACAAUAUGAACUUUCAUUUACUCCAAGCUCUUAUUCUACAAGUCAAUUCAGUUUGUAGAUGCAAGCCAUUGUAAAAACUUUUGUAUUAUAAUUUCUGAAAAUAGAACGUAACAUUAUUAAUAUAGAAUCAGCAAUGUAUAUAACUUAUCAGACAAUAUAACAAGCACUUGGUGAGCAUACAAGAUAAACUAAAAUUUAAUAAUAUGUGGAAUUAAAGAUAAACUAAAAUUUAUGUUUAAACAUAAAUUUAAAGCAAAUCGAAUUGCAAAACAUUAGAAUGGAUGUUGGAAUUAAAGCUAAAUUCAAUAGUAAUUCAAAUGAAUCCAUUUGAACUUUGUAAAUUCCGCAGAACAAAAUUAAUUUGAGUGAGCAAACUCACCAAUGGAACAAGAACACAGGGGCUUCAACUUGUAGGAAUAAAAAAAUAUUGCUGGCGGGACAAAAAUUGACAAUAACGGCUACAAUACGAAUUAAAAAAAAAAUCAAAAUCUAUAAUUACAAGCUAAGUAAGAGAAGAAACUCAUAAUCACAAGCUUACCUCAAAAGAUGAAGGGAGAAUACGAUGAAGAAGAAGAUGCCCGGUGUUUUACGCCGUUCGCCGGCAACCAGUUAGGUUUACGAUGGUGGCUAGUCCAGCGAAUAGUUUUCUAACUGGAAAUAAAUUUAAAUUUCUAAAAUAGUACUAUACCGAACGGCUCUUCACCGUCACGUGGUUAGCAACACAUGUGACAGCAGUGUGGCCGUCACAUAAAGGGUAACAAAAGCAACUCGGGGUUACAAAGUUAGAAGUUAGUGGCAUGCGUAAUGGCUGCUUUUGCAUUCACAUUAGGGGUCACAUAUACCCUAUUUUCUUGUAGUACAUGGUAAUUUCUAUUUGAAAAUUGCUAAGUAUUUUAGAUUUGUACGAAUUCAUUUUUGUGUGCUCGUUGGAUAAUAAUAUAUAGUAAAUUAAAUUUUUGGUGUAAUUUUUACAAUAUUGUAUUAGAAAUAUGUCUCGUUGAAAGGUUUUGAAAUCGUUUUGAUUGAUCAUAAUUGAUAUUUCGACAGUUGCAAAAGAUGCCAGAGAAAAUUUGAUUAUCUUAAGAAAUGAGUGCAUGAGAUAUGAAAUCAACCAUACCAUAAAAUCAAAUUUUAUCAUGUCAUCCUUCCUGGUUCAAAUUUAUGGAAACAAUAAUCAAAUGCAUCCAUGAACUAGUAUAUUCCGACAUAUGUACCAUCAAAUUUUUGCUAUAUCAUACUUAUAUAUGUAUAUUGAAAUUUUAAUAACAACAAUUGGGCCAAGCAUAUGUUGGUACUUGAAUAUUUAUAAGCUCCAUCCUUGAAAAAAUAAGGCUUGACUGUUCUAAAUCUAAUUCUUUUUGUUUUAAGUUCUUAAUUAAGCUUUCUUGCUUGUUUUCAAGAGCCAGUUUUGUAAUGAUCCAUAAACAUGAUUUGCAUAUACAGUAUUGCACUUGGCAUAUACAGUAUUGCACUUGGCAUUUAUGUAUCACUUAUUAAUUAGAUUUAAAUUUUAUAAAUUAAUUAAGCUGAUUAAUAUUUUAUAUGUGCACUAAAUGAUAGAUACUACAUAAAUUGGGACACUAUAAGUACGUAUCCCAACUAUGUAAUAUUUGUUUGUCACAAACCCAAUCAUGACCUGAUAUUCUGAAUAUUAUUUAGGAUACCAUUUCAAGCCCCAUGAGGGCUCUUUCCAUUAAAAAAAAGUAUGAAAUAGAUGUAGAUUUUUCUUUAGAUAUUAUUAGUGAGAGUACCUUUGGUGGCAGUGGUCCGGGAUGAUUUGGGAUUUGACAAUUCUACUCUCAUCUUAAUUAUCAAAUGAAAUGUAAGUAGAGAUAAACUCGUCUUGUUUAUAUAUUUGUGAUCAAAAUUAGGACCAAUAUCUAACCACUCACAAUCAUGUCCCAUCCUAACUAUCCUGAAUGUCUCGAUUGCCUCCCUUAAUUAUCUUUUUAAUUCUCAUUAACAUAUUAGCAAAAUUUUCAUAUAUUAAAAAUAUUAGGGUCCGACCAUCUAUACUUUAAAAAUCAUUAUGAACACUCAAUUAUUUAUGCACUCAGCUAAUAAAUUUAAAAAAUUAAGUUUUACUUUCUACGCUUUUUUUUAGGAGUACUUUCUACACUUUUUAAAAUAACAAAAACAUCUUUACAUGAACCUAAUAAGCUUAUUUAAAAAAAUUAAAUCAACUAUUUUUAUUUAUUCAAAAUACUAAUAAAAAUAUUUAGCAAACCGUGAAAGAAAUUUUUUAAGAAAUUUAACACGAUUUUAGUUAUUACUUAUUGUUUAUUAAAGAAUGUGUUCACUAUUGUUUUUAAUUUUGUUAGUAAAAAAAAAAGAAGAAGAAGAAGUUUGGGUUUAAGAUACAUUUAAUUUUUAGUGUAACAGUUGUAAUAUAUAGCUUUAUUUACCCAAGUGGGCAAUACAUUUAAUUUUUAGUGUAACAAUUUUAUUCAUACGAUGCUUUUAAAACUAAAAGUACUUUUAAAAAUAAAUUUUACUAAAUGUUCAGCUGAUUCUCUUGACAAUUGAUCAAUUUCUACAGCAUAGCUAAUUGUAAUUAUUUUAAAAGCUACAGGAUUACCAAAUUGACCCUAAAUCAAACCAAUAAAAAUGUUUAAAAGUAAUAAUUAUAAACCAAAGUAAACGUACAAAAAUUCAUGCAUAAAUUGAUAAUCAACAAAAACAUCCACAAGUUUAACUCCAAGUUUUCUAUUCAAUUGACAUAACCCUUAAAUUUCAAAAGGCAUAAUCAAUUUUGUGUCUAAUCCUAUAAAAUUAGAAAAUUAAAGAAUAUUAUAUACUGAUAAUUAAAUAAUAUGCAAUUAAUAACGUUAAAAAAUAAUGUUAAACAUAUUGUCAACUAAAAUAAUUGGGAGAAUUGGAGUUCCAAGAUAAAUUCUUAUCUAGUCCCAAAUCAGCAAUUGGGAUUAACGAGCUACUAUUGAAAUUAAUGUUAACAACAAAAAUAGAUGCAAAAGGAGAAACAAGCAUCGUGUACAGUACCCACUGUGAACUGCUCACAUUGGAAUAAGUUGUUGGCAGCUGGUCAAAAAUUCAAUGUUGAUUUUGAUCCCACUAAAUUAAGUCAUCAAAAAUUACUUUCCGUACAAUGAUGAUUGGGCUGCAUAUAUCAUUUAUUAUUAACUAACUUAUGAAAUGCUUUAAAUGUACCUCCUAGGUCGUAUUAUUUACUAUACUAGUUAGGAUAAAUUGCAAUGUUAAAUUAUUUGAUAAAUACUUAUUAUAAUUUAAUAAAUAUGUUAAUUUUGUCCUCCACUUUAUGAUAAAAAAAUUUAUAAUAUAUAUAAAUCAUUUAUUCUAUAAUCUUAAACUUUAUUAAAGUUCGAAAAACUAUUACUCUAUAUGAUAUAAUAGUGUGAUGUAAUUACACUAUUAUACCAUAUAAAAUAUAUUUGCUUUCUUAAAUUUUAAUAAAGUCUAGGUCUUGGACAGAAACACUUUAUAUAUGUAUGUAUAAUGAUUCUCUAGCAACGACAUUCUCAUUUUAACAAAGUAAUAAUAUCACUAACAAACUAAAUAACACAUAUUUCAAUACACCAAUAAAUAAAAAAAUAAUUUUUAAUGUGUUAAAAUAUGUCUUUUGUAUAUUAUUGAUAUUUUCACUUUAACAUAGUGAGGAUCUCCUCACUAUAGAAGUACUUUAUAAAUAUUCUUUGUAUUUUAGUUCUAAGCUCUGUUUCGUGUAUCAUCGACACAAUGAGGCAUAGCAUCUAAAAGUCGGCAGCCAUGCAACUUCUUGGAAUCUUCAUGCAAGUGUUGGAUAUCGACUGUUCGAUAACGAUGGCAGCAUUGGACUGGACUGUAAUUGACGCAGAUAUUGUCAGAUAUUUCAUUGAUUAAGGAUCACAAAUAAUGGCUAUUGGAUGAGGAUCACAUGUUUUAUGACAGUGGUAAUGGCAUGCUACUAAUGUAAGUCAAGCAUUACUUUUAAAUAAUGAUAUUAUAAUUAAAAAUCUAAAAAUAUUUAUAAUACCUAAAGACUAAUUCAGAUUAUUAAUUUGUUUAUAUGACUUAAUUAUUAGCUGACAAAUAAUUAAAAAGUCAUGGAACAAUAUUUAAUUGACGCAGUGGAAUAAGGAUCACAAAUAAUGGAUAUUGGAUGAGGAUCACAUUGGAGUGUUGUGAUACAACACAUAUUCACAAAAGCGUUGUUGAUGAAGUCUAGUACUCUAAUGCUACUUUAUUAUGUGGGGGCAGAGCAGUAAAUUUCAAAGCGAAAUUAUAGAUGUGUUUUAUAAUGGGAUUCAUAAGAUUUUAUUUUUAAAAAAUUAGUAAGGUUUAUUGAGAGUCUCACUAUAGCACAUGAGAAAAUAUCAUUAGAGAAGUUCAUCAUGACCUAUCUCGUGUAAAUUUCUCUUCUAGCAAUUGUGAAUUUGAGUUUAGUUUUAGGGCUCAUUUAAACUAUGGUACCAUAGUGGUGCCAUAUUAUAAUUGGGUCUAACCAUUGACAACUCUGAUGACUACCGUAGAGUGGAUUCAAUGGUACCACUUUAUCAGGUAUUAUUAAUUUUUAUUUCAAAAAUUGAAACUUUCAGUUUAUUACAACUGACAGCUGACCCCACACAUUUCGAUGAUUAUAAUUUAGGCCAAAACUACAUUGCGUCGGGGGUUUGGUACCCCACUCCUUUGUCUGUUAGCAAGGUCAGCGUUGGAUUUGAUCUGACGGCUGCAGAAGGGACACAAAUAUAAAGAGGAGUAACCUGAGGUAAAGGUAAUAAGCCGGUCACCUGCAGAAAAUAAGUGUAUGAUAAAAUAACACAUGCAAUAAAUUUUGUUUGUUUUUUUUUUUUUUUUUUGAGAAGACACAUGUAAUGAACUUGCUGGAAGCGUAUAUGCAAGUAAUGGUUGGAAACAACUUGCUGGAACCGUGCAAGUAUUGGUUGGGCUAAGACUGACAUGAAAUUUCCCCAAUAGUGUCCAAAACAUUUGCAAAUAGUUAAUUCAAAGCGUAAAUAAAUGCUGGAAAAAAUACGUAUUUUUUAUUUUAUUAUUAAGAAUACAUCUUUUGAUAAAAAAAGAUAAAUGAUUAAUGGUACAUAUUAGUAACAAAUAUACUAAAAAAAUUAUCCAUAUAUUUGAAAAAAAAUUGUUAACAAUACAUAUUUUUUAGAAGUACACAUAUUAUACCAUACAAAAAUUGAGUUGUAUCAUGGACAGCCAUAAACUAUGAACAAAGAUUACGAUCGAAACUCCACAUGCAUAUUUAAUUUGUACAUUUUUUUCAGAAUGCGUUUCCCACCAUGGGAAUAACCAAGGUUCUUCAGGCAAAACACUACGGUAAUUCAUUAUCAUAGACAGGAAAAAGACAAUGGCAAAGAUCAAUAAUUUAACACAUAAGAAUGAGUGAAUGACAACAUCAAGUGAGAACCAUGCACAAUCCUUUUUAUUAGAGAUCCUUUCUUAAAUCUUAAAUAAGAACAUUAAAUAAGCUUGAAAAAUAUUGGUAACUGACCCAAUACACAUCCAUCUAACGGAAAACAGCGGACAAUUUGAUGCAUGUGUGGAGCACUUGAGGAAACAGAGCAUCCACAGAAUGCCUAAAUUUGAAAAAAAAAAAAGAAAAUAUUUGCAUUUGACGAAAAGGACUUUGAGCGUUCAAAUACAAAGUGUCAAUUAACCUUACAAGAUACAUCAACCAUCAGAUAUGCUCAACAUGCAAUACCAAAUUAAAUUACCUAUCUCCAGGGUUGGAUUUGUCUUCAAUCAGAUGAAUGUUGGAGAGAAUAUAAUUGAAAGAAUGGCAUCAUCUACCAUGCAAGGUAAGGCUCCUUACAGGUGCUCAAUAUGACACCACAAAAGAAAAUACAAUAUCAUAGACACAUCACCAACAUAUAUGCAAACAACCAAUUCUCACAGCAUGUAGUGCAACAACUCACAAAAUAUGAAAUUUAACAUCAUCUAAGCAUUUUUCUCAUUAAAGAACCUAACUGAAAGUAGUAAACAUAGAGACAUAUAACAGCUUUAUAAGUACAGACCACAAAGUAGAACUUUGUUCGAAUGAUAACGAUCAUAAUCCACAUUAUAAACGCAGUGAAAUCAUCAAAUGAAAAUAAGAACACAGUACAUAAUUACACAGAUAUUAGGCUUAAUUAAUUAUUUAGAUUAAAACACCACUUCACACAGCUUCCUUAGCUGGAAUCUUCUCAUAUCUCAUCUUCUUAGGGCUCAAAUCAUCAUCAUGAUCAUCAACAUCAGUGAAUUCCUCAUACGAAUUGCGAGAAUCGUGACGAUUAGCAAAAAGGCUCCACACCAAAUACAUGGUAAUGUCAGUAAGCGAACUGCACCCAACGCCGAAAAGAAAAGCGACUGGUUUGGUCGCAUAGAGAGGAGAAGUCGUGCUCGAAGGGCAAAAUGCGACGUUUUGGCUCGUGGAUGAGGUGCUGCUCCCAAUCAUCGAUUGAAGGGAGAAUCAGACAGUCGAGGAAGAUUAAGGGACGAUGGGGGCUGAAUUGGCAAAUUUCGGUGAAGAUUGUGACAAAUCUAAUGGGGUUUUCGGAGUUAGAGUUAGGGCAGCGGGAAUUGAAAUGGAUCAAUUAAGAGGAAAUGAAGAGGGUUUUGCAUGGCCUUUUGGAGGCUGAAAUUGAGAGGACACCAUGAAUAUUGUGAGAGCUAGGAGGAGACGCUGAGUCGAUGACGCCAUUGAUUCGUACCACACAGCUUCGAUUGGAAAUGGAGCCUCUAAUUGCUUUAGCCGGUUACCCAUUUUUCAAGUGUUAAAUCUCAGCCGUUGACUACCUUUCUUUACGAUCUAAAGGGUCAUUCGCAAAAGGACAAGCGACUGGGGUACCAAACCCCUGAUGCAAUGUAGCUGGAUCCUAUCUUUCAUUCACAAUAUGCCAGCAAAUGUUAAUUACGAAUAAUUUAUGUCCUUCACCCCUGACAUUGAUAUUAGCAAUUUUCAGUUAAAAGUUAAAUCAUCCCAGCAUUAGCAUUUUUUCUUAAUUAGAGUUGAAUAAUUAUGCCCAAUUGUAUAACAUCAUUUUAAUUAAUAGAUUAGAAACGUGAUUCACGUUUGACAAUAAUUUUCUCUUUUGCUGUUUUGUCGUUAUAGUUUACUGAGACGAGAAGAAAUAAUUGCUCGUUUGGAUACUCUCUGUAUUCACAUUUGACAAAAUAAAUAAAUAAUUUCUUUUUACUGUUUUGUUCCUUUUACUGUAUGAUAUUGAACAAAAUAAUUUUUUUCAGAUCGCUCAAUAGAAUUGCUUCAAAUCAGUUUUACCAGUUAUAAUUCAUCAGCUCCUACUCUUUGCGUUCAAUUCUCAGUCAAGAAAACCUCUCCUGAUUUUCGUCUUUUGAUCUCAUACACACUCUGCUUCUGUUCAUCGUGGUCGCUGCUCGUGCUAGCCGUUUUCUUAUUUAGCUUUGCUCCCUUCUGCCAUCACCUCUCUGUAUACUCAUUGGAUCAAGAAACCCUUUUCUUGUUUCAAUUUUCUGAUCUCAACAACACUUUGAUUCUCAUCCAUUACACUGAUUUUUUUCCUUAUUUUGCUCAAAUACAAUUUCUCUUCCUAAUUUAGUCCCGUUCCCUUUCACCGUCAUCUGUUUUUUCUUCGGCUUCUUCAUUGAUUAACAAUUGUCCAGUCGUUUCCCCUGUUCUUUUUCUGUUUCUUUCACUUCAGAUCAAUCCAUCCUCCCACAACACACCCCCCCCCCACAAAAAAAAGAAAAGAAAAAGUAUUGAAGGUGAUGGAAUCCAUUGUUACUGUCGUUUUAGAGGUUGUAAAAUGCUUGGCUCCUCCAGCACAACACCAACUUCGUUACUUGCGUAGCUCCAAUGACAACUUUGAGAAUCUGAAGGCUGAAACCGAGAAGCUCAAGGAUAAAAGUAGGAGCAUUCAACGCAGAGUUUCAGAGGAUGAAAGAAAAGGAGAAAAGAUUGAAGAGGAGGUUGAGAAAUGGCUGGUUAAUGCGAACAAGAUCAUUGACCAUGCAGACAAAUUCAUUCACGACGAGGAGGCAACAAAUAAGCGAUGUCUCAAGGGUCUAUGCCCUAAUCUGAAGACCCGCUAUCAGCUUAGCAAGAAAGCAGAGGCAGAGGUGAAGGCACUUGGCAAAAUCCGAGAAGAAGCUGCAAGAUUUGAUGAUAGAAUUUCCUACAGUACCAUUCCGGAGGAGAUAUGGCUCAAGUCUCACAAAGGCUACGAGGCCUUCGAGUCAAGACUUUCUUCUUUGAAGGCCAUACAAAAUGCAUUGAACGAUGUUAAUGUUAGUGUCGUUGGGGUGUACGGCAUGGGCGGCAUUGGAAAGACGACACUGGUGAAGAAGGUCGCCAGGCAAGCUAUGGAAGACAAGCUCUUUGAUAUGGUGGUCUUUUCAGAGGUUUCGCAAACUCCAGACAUAAAAAAGAUUCAACAGGAAAUUGCCGAGAAGUUGGGCCUGGAGUUGCACGAGGAAGUUGAAUCUAGAAGAGCAAGUAGACUAUUUGAGCGAUUGAGAAAUCACAAGAAGAUCCUUGUGGUUUUAGAUAACAUUUGGAAACACCUUGAUUUGGAGACAGUUGGAAUUCCUUUUGGAGAAGAUCAUAAAGGCUGCAAACUACUGCUGACGGCAAGAGAUCGUAGUGUCCUCUUAAAAAUGGGUUCUAAAGACAACUUUUUGAUAAACAAUUUAAAUGAAGAAGAAGCCUGGAGAUUGUUUAAGAUGAUGGCCGGUGAUGAUGUUGAAAAUCGUGAGUUGAAAUCUACAGCAAUAGACGUCGCCAGGGCAUGUGGAGGUUUGCCCAUUGCCUUGACCACAGUAGCAAAGGCACUGAGAAGCAAGAGUCUGCAUGAAUGGAAGAAUUCCUUGCGAGAACUCCGAACGCCUUCAAUGGUGAACUUCGAAGGAGUAUCUGCAGAGACUUAUUCAAGUAUUGAGCUGAGUUUCAACCAUUUAAAAGGUGAGCAACUCAAGAAAAUUUUUCUCCUCUGUAGUCUAAUGGAGGGCCAUAUUACUUUGGACUUGUUUAAGUACUCCAUGGGUUUGGGUAUAUUUAAAGGAGUCAAUAAGAUGGAAGAUGCACGAGACAAAUUAUAUGCAUCGGUCCAUGAACUUAGAGACUCUUGUUUGUUGCUUGAGGGUGACAGCAAUGAAGAAUUUUCAAUGCAUGAUGUCGUUCGCGAUGUCGCAAUAUCAAUUGCAUGCCGCCACCAACAUGUGUUUUCGGUGAGAAAUGAUGAGGAUGUGUGGGACUGGCCAGAUGAGGAUGCACUUCGAAAAUGCAAUGCUAUCUCUUUAAUAAAUAAUAGUAAUCGUGAAUUUCCUGAAGGAUUAGAAUGCCCAAACCUUGAAUUUUUAGGUGUCUUUCUCAAAGAUUUUUCUCUUGAAAUCAAUAUUCCUGAGAACUUUUUUGUAGGGAUGAAAAAGCUUAGAGUUCUAGAUUUUACUCGAAUGCAGUUUUCUUCUUUUCCAUUUUCAAUUGAUCUUCUAGUAAAUCUUCACACACUAUGUCUGAAUCAAAGUGCGUUGGGCGACAUAGCAAUCAUUGGGAAGUUGAAGAGUCUAGAAGUCCUUAGCUUUGUGAGGUCUGAUAUUAAGAAGUUGCCCGAAGAGCUAGGUCAACUGUCUAAGCUAAGGCUGUUAGAUUUAACAGACUGUUUCCUUCUGAAAGUUAUUGCCCCAAAUGUCAUAUCAAGCUUAAUCCGAUUAGAAGAGCUGUAUAUGGGUAAUUGCUGCAUUGAAUGGGAGGUUGAAAGAGACAACAGGGAAAGAAGUAAUGCUAGCCUUGACGAAUUGAUGCAUUUACCUCGGCUAACCACUCUAGAAAUUGACGUUAAAAAUGACAGUAUUUUACCAGAAGGUUUUUUGGCCAGAAAGCUCGAAAGGUUCAAAAUAUCCAUUGGAAAUGAGUCAUUCAUGCCUCCCAAGAGUAUUACAAGAGAAUGGUUUCAAAGCCGGCCGCACUUUUUGAUCAACAGUAAUCGUGAGAGUUUAAGAGAAUUGAAGCUCAAGCUUGAUUUUAUGGACAUUUGCUCCAUGAAAUUGCAGGGCAUCAAUAACGUUGAAUACCUAUGGUUUGACAAGCUGCAAGGUGUCAAGAAUGUUCUUUUUGAUUUGGACACAGAAGGCUUUUCACAAUUGAAGCAUCUCCAUGUUCAAAAUAAUCCUAACUUCCUGUGUAUCGUGGACUCAAUGGAGAUGGUAGCUUGUGAAGCCUUUCCUCUUUUGGAGUCACUUAUCCUUCACAAUUUGAUCAACAUGGAGAGGAUAUGUAUUGAUCAGCUCAAAGUAGAGUCUUUCAACGAACUCAAAAUCAUAGAAGCAUAUAAUUGUGAUAAAUUGAGUAAUAUCUUUUGGCUCUCUACUACAAAAUGCCUUCCAAGACUUGAGAGAAUUGCAGUUAUUAAUUGCAGCAAGAUGAAAGAGAUUUUUGCAAUUGGGGAAGAAGUUGAUAAUGCAAUUGAGAAGAUAGAGUUUGCUCAAUUAAGAUCUUUGAGUCUGGGGAAUCUUCCAGAGGUUACAAGUUUUUGCCGCGAGGUGGAGACUCCUUCAGCAUCACCAAACAGACAAGUGUCGCAAGAGGAAUCGACGACUAUGUAUAGCUCCAGCGAAAUCACUUUGGAUAUUUCAACUCUGCUUUUCAACGAGAAGGUGCGUAGGCUAACAGAUUUUAUUCUAUCAUGCGUUCUGUUUUGAUGUCAUACGUGGAAAAUAAUUAAAUCAUUUAAAGAAUUGAAAGAAAAUGGAAAAAAGGAUAAAAAGAAUCUCACGCGCUCACUAAUUGAGCUCUUAACAAGUAGUAUGAAUUAGAAUGCAUACUCAGCUGUCAGUUGGAAAUUGAUUCUGACUUGCAUUAAUUUGUAAUCAAAGAAGAAAAUUUCAACAAGUGCUUCCCAUAUGGAUAUUGGAUCUAAUAAGAAAUUCUUAUUUUUUUAGGUUGCGUUGCCUAACUUGGAGGCUCUGGAGAUAUCUGAAAUUAAUGUCGACAAGAUUUGGCACUACAAUCAAAUUCCGGCGGCCGUGUUUCCUCGCUUUCAAAAUUUAACACGAUUGAUCGCGUGGCGUUGUCACAAAUUAAAAUACAUAUUUUCAGCGUCUAUGAUCGGAAGCCUUAAGCAGCUCCAACACCUAGAAGUAUGGUUCUGUGAGAAUUUACAGGAGAUCAUUUCUGAAAACAGAGCAGAUCAAGUGAUCCCUUAUUUUGUCUUUCCACAGCUCACCACUCUGAUACUCCAAAAUCUACCAAAACUUAGAUGUUUGUACCCUGGAAAGCAUACUUCGGUAUGGCCCGCGCUAGAAAUUCUUGUAGUGUAUCGUUGUGACAAAUUAAAGAUAUUCGCUGCAGAUUUAUCGCAGAAUAAUGAGAAUGAUCAACUUGGUAUUCCUGCACAACAGCUCCCAUUGCCAUUGGAAAAGGUAUGAAGCCAUUUUCUAGAUUUUUUAUCAAUAGCUUAUUUUUAACUUUGAAAAAUAUGACAAAGCAUCGAUAAAUUAAUACUCAAUAAAUUGAAAACUUUUAUUAUACAAUAAUCUUUGCUAGUCUAGACUAAGGGAUCAAUGUGAUAGAUUAAUAAUUAUAUGAACUGUUUUAGGUAUAGCAUUUAUAAAAGAAUCCUUAGUCUUUCCAUAUAGAAGAACUUACAAAAUAAAUUAGUAAUUUAUUAUUGUGCAAUAAAAUAAUUUCGAGCCAGUAUAAAUCAACCUUUUUUCCCUAAUUUCUUUUUUACCUCUAAAAUUAACAUAUAAAAUAAAUUUUAUCACUAAUUCAUUUUUUUUAAAAAUAUAAUAUAAAACAAAUACUAUAAAGUCACUGCAUGUGACCGUAGAUCAUCAAUUGACCUCAUUAGUUAUUAUGAUUGAUGAUGAUCAGAUCGUACCCAACUUGAAGGAACUAUCACUAAGUGGAAAAGAUGUGAAGAUGAUUUUGCAGGCCGAUUUCCCACAACACCUUUUUGGCAGUCUUAAACAACUAGAGAUUAUUGGAGAUGACUCAGCUUGUUUUCCAAUCUGGAACGUACUGGAGAGAUUUCACAAUAUCGAAAUACUCACUCUGUUUAAUUUUUCAUCCCACGAAGAGCUAUUUUCGAUGGAAGGAUGCUUAGAGAAACAUGUGGGGAAGUUGGCAAUGAUAAAAGCAUUAGAGCUGCGCUGGCACUAUCAUCUGAAGCAGCUGUGCAAACAAGACUCCAAACUUGGCCCCAUUUUUCAGUAUCUUGAAAUUCUAGGAGUACAUCAUUGUCAAAGUCUGUUAAUUCUAUUGCCAUCAUCAUCGGUAUCUUUUCGGAACCUAACAAAACUUUUAGCUUUCGGUUGCAAGGGAUUGAUGCACUUGGUAACAUCCUCCACAGCAAAAACUCUAGUGCGAC
rnacentral:lncRNA from 1 species